rnacentral:lncRNA from 1 species
UUUUUUUUUUUUUUUUUUUUGUCGAUACCACAGAUUAUUCUACACUAGAAUGGAGGGGGAAAAUCUGAAAAGGUCCAAAAGUAAUUCGGAAGGAACUGAAUCACCUAUCAUAUCUGACUAAAUGCACUACACGUCGAUUUGAAUUUUCUAAGUAGAGCCACUUUAGUAUGAGAACUUGCUUCCCACCUCAUCAAAUUUUAAUGCAUUGGCGGCGUCUAUGCAUAUCAAGUCGGUCAAAAGUGGAGAAAAUUGGCGAAUACAACUAUUCAUCAAAACGAAGACGUACUUUUGCACAGAGGAGAACAACCCGGAAGGAUCCAAAAUAAAAUAAUGCACUCCGAAAUCAAAUCCGCAACUACUAAAAGACGUCUGACUUUUGUCGCCUGGGAUUCUUUCUUGUUCAGCGUUCCAUCCAUUUAUAGCAUUCUGAUCACAGAUUUGAACAAACAGAUCAUGGCAUCCACCACCCAAUACCCUGUACUAUAUUAAGUUAUUAACCAUCCUCACGAGUCAGAUCAGAAGCCCCCACCGCCCUCUUCCUUUCUUCCCUCCUUUUUUGGGCACGUCAGAUAAAUGAUUUGGGAUGGUGGGAGUACAAUACUGCUAGUAAAAAGUAAUUUGCAUUGCAUUUUUUUUUUAGAAAAAAUUUAUUGUAACAAUUUGAUAUAUGUGAAAUAAAAAGGUGAUUGAAAAAUAUGUUCACGAAAGAAAAAAAAAAACAUAAGAAAAAUUGCAAUCCAAAGAAAGCCAAUUAUGAAAUCCUAGAAAAACUUUUCUCCUUCAUUCUUUUAUCCGUAGAAGUAGUAGUAGUACGUUUUUCCUUAAAUAUUUCAUUCGUUUCCCGCUUUUUUCUUUUUCUUUCUUGAAAAAGGAAAAAUAAAUUUUUUAAAAAAAGAAGAAAAAACUAGUACACAUAAGAAAUCAACAAGCGAAAAAUAAGAGGAAAAGACAACCUAGAAUAGAUCAAAAUUCCAAAUGUCAAACACAAGUUCUUCCUGUUUCACUGCACCCGGGACCCACAGGACAGGACCGAAAUCUCCAUCAUCUUACUUUACUUUUCAAAGUUGGUACCAGGUCCAGGAUAUUAUUAGAUUGAUAAAUCACAAAUCCUCCUUUUCUGGCUUUCCACUCUAGCUCAACUCUUCUGCUCCAGUUUAAAGCCAUUUACAGCAGAAUCAAACCCAAACAGAUGAAUCCCGACCGCCUUCAGCUUUUGAGUCUUUACUCCUCACUCCUUCACGCAAUUCCCAUGCAUUCUCAUUUGCUUUCCCACUGCCAACGGAAAAGCUACUAUAUCACCUCGGAUUACUAUUAGCAGCAGUAUAAUUUUUUUUAGUUUUGUCCCUUUUUUAUUCCCUUUUGUUUAAAUUUUAGUUCUACUGGUAUGGCAGUUUCUGACAUUGAAGCUGUGGUUGAAUUCUUGAGGAAAAAUGGAUUUUCAGAGUCUGAAUCAGCUCUUAUGGAGGAUAUUUGUGACAAAUCCCAACUGGGAUCCUCGGAUUUUCAGAGAUUUUUGUUCCCAAUGGUGCCUCCACUUCCCCCGGUUAAAAUUCCGGCCCCCGCAGCUAGGUGGUUGCCUCUGGUCCCUGGUGGAGGCGAUGCUGAUGAUGGUGGUGGUCAUCAGCUGAGUUCUCCUUCUUCUGAUGAUGAUGAUGAGGAGUUUGUCAGCUUGGCUUCUUCUACUACUGAGUUGUGUUCUUCAGGUCGUGAUUCUAAUUUUUUAACUGCUGCCAGUGAUCUUGUGGAUUUUCCUUUCUUUGACUUAUUAUAAAGUUCUUCUUAAUUUUGCCAUGUAUAAUUUUAUUGUUUCUCUUUUUAUAUUGAUAUGUGUUGUCUGUUUUAUUUGGGAACUGGGAUCUUUGGGAGAAUUUUGUCUUUUUUUUUGUGUAAUUUAGUUUGCUUUUAAAUCGAUUAUUAGCUUGUAAUAUUCUUGUUCUUGUUUUCUCCAUUAAUUGAUUGAAGAAUAGUUUUUGUUCAGUAGUUGACAGCUAGAUUGCUCCUUGCUUUGUUCCCUCUGCAUUUCAGAGUUUCUCUCUUUCCCUCUCCUCCUCUCUCGCUGAACUCAGUAUGUGGAAAAAUUUAUGUCUUGCUCUGUCAAUUAUGUACUGUAGUCAUUAAAGCAAAAGCAUACCAAAUUAGGCAAUGAAAUCAUGCGUUUCUGCAGUCUAAUCAAGGACUUUAGGUAAAUUCCCAAUUUGAUUUUUCAUUACUACAUGAGAGGGAGUAUUUUCUUGCUUGUGUUUCCUCUUAUAACUUCGCAACAUCCACUGAACUCCUCCUUUAAGUUUAAAAAUUUUUCUCCAGUUCUGCUUGGCUAUCCAGUGCAAUUAAUGCAGCAUUAUGUAGCUGGUGUCUAUUUUUUUCUUUUCUAAAUCAGCAUUUUUCUUUUCUAAAUCAGCAUUUUGUUCCCUGGCAUUUGUAUGUUGACCCGAGCUUUAUAUUAGCAUGCAAGUCAGAGGUCUCAUGAGCCCUGAACACCAAAAACCUGUGACUAUUGCUAUUCUUUCCUAAGAAAUGGCGGUUCCUUUUUCUUUUGGGAAGGGGUGUGGAUGUGAAGGUAGAAAUGGUGAAUAUUUGGAGAUCGUAUCUGAUGCAUGCUUUUUUCCUUUUGCAGACUUCACAAAUCCAUACGGGAUUCAUACUACCACAAGGCCGAGUUCUCAAGCUUCAUCUGAUGGGAUGUCUCAAUUUGGUACUGCACGAGAUUAUCAUGAGUUUGAUAUGCAAAAUGACUUAUACUGGUACAAAGAGAAAGAUGAAGACUAUGCUAUGCCUCCCCUCUUUGGGAUCUCAGACUUUGAUGCUGACCCAAGCGAGGAUAAGUUUGUCAUGACUGUAGAGACAGGGAAGCACAGGGAGAAUGAGCUUUGUCUGAACCAUAUAUCUGAAGGGUUUCAAUCUGAAAGUAGCACUCAUUACUAUGAUAGACAAUGGCCAAUAAACUCAAAGGAGAGUGGACAAAAUGAGGUUAUUAAAGAUUAUUAUGAUUUGGAAAGAAAUAUACAACUUGAAGAAAAUUUUAAGAAGGGAGAGGAAGGUUGCACGGGUUAUCAAUGUUCAGGCACGCUCUGUGCUUGCUGUGGUGGAGCAGGGAUAAAUCAUAUUGAGGAUCCUGCAGAUUUUGGAAUUCUAAAUCUUAGUCCUAGUCAGGAGGCAUCUAUUGGAUGUGAUGCAAACUGUUCUGUCAAGAAUAAUACAAACUAUUCUGUGAAGAGUAGCUCUAUGAAUGGCUGGGUUGGAGAACUGAAAAGUAGUGAUGACUUUCAAACUCACAUCAUUGAGGAAGAUUACCACCUGGGUGAAAUCGAAUCUAGGAAUCAUGAAAUGGAUGGAAAUAUCUGUGACCCUGAUCCCUCAGCUGAUGAAGAGGUUGGCACCCCGUCUGAUGAGCUUCUGAUGUAUGAGACUAAGGAAGAUGAUUAUGAAGUAUUCAGUCUGAGAAUCAUACACAGGAAAAACAGGUUUGUAAGUCCUUCAUUGUCUUUUUUCUAGAUUUUGUCUUUGUCCCCAGAUGUUGAUGCUGAGCUUGCAUCCUCUGUGUUUCUCACUUUGAUGAUGAAGUGCUAAUCCGAUGUGAGAAAUGACAUAAUGUAGACUUAUUCAGCUAGUGCAAAAAGCACUUGGAUUCUGUAUUAGUCCUUAAUUGAAUCGAUUUUUCUAAUCUUAGUUUCCUGGUCCUGUAAUGGUUGUUAUAGUUUGUCUUGUGCAGGGUUGAAUUGUAGCAAACAGUAGUACUCAUUUGUUAUGCCAUCCACAGGACUGGAUUCGAAGAAAACAAGGACUUUCCCAUUGUUCUAAAUAGUAUUGUAGCUGGUAGAUAUUAUAUCACUGAGUACCUUGGUUCAGCCGCUUUCAGUAAGGUUGCUCAGGCACAUGAUCUUCAUACUGGAAUGGAUGUUUGCUUGAAGAUCAUAAAAAAUGAUAAGGACUUCUUUGAUCAGAGCUUAGAUGAAAUUAAACUUCUGAAGUUUGUAAACAAGCACGAUCCUGGUGAUGAGCACCAUAUAUUGCGCCUUUAUGAUUACUUCUACCAUCAGGUGUGCAUCAAAGACAGUUUCUCAGUAUUCUUACUUUCUUAGAAUCUUGUUAGAUUUAUUUACUAGCAGUUUUUCUCUGAAAAGGCAUGGCAGAUUAACAAAAAUGUCUCUCCCUUUCCUUUACUCAUCUCCGUAGUGAUAAAUCAGUAUGAGUUUUCAUCUAUUCUUAGAUACCCAUAAGAGGGAUUUUCUGCAUGUAUUUUGCCUUUUAUGUGGUCAAAUAAAGAAGUUUUCCCUUACAGUUCAACAUUUAUAUUUCAAAAUCGCUAAACACAAGUGGUAUGAGUUGUUCACUUUUUUCCUACCUCCAGAGAUAAACAAAAUGAUGUUCAGUUGAUCCUCCAUGCGCCAGCUUUGAUAUUUACAUGGUCCAUAACCAUUGAAUUCAUGGUCUAUAUUUGUGUAGUGCUUGCAGACAUGAUUUAACAUCUUGGUCCAGUUGAUCUGCUUCACCUUAUCUGUUUGUCUUUCUUAAAUAGGUAGACUUCCUCCAGCAUUAUAUACUGAAAACCUAUUUGGAUUUUUUGAGGCCAUAAAUGAAAGACUUCUGAUAAUUAAUCAUCUGGUAACAUCGCAGUUGGUAAUCUUGAUUUUCAUAGUUGGAUCUUUCUUUAAAAGUUGAGAUUUUUUAUGUUCUGACUUUAUGGAAGCAGUUUAUGCUCCAUCAUACUACCAAAGGGCUAUCACAUUUAAGAACUUGUCUUCUGAAAAGUCUCUCAAGGGGUUAGAUGUCAACUAUUAAUUUAGUGCAAAAAGGGACAAUAAGUUACCUAAAGAAUGGGGUUUUCCGAUAAGCUGUUCAGCUUUUGUUAUUAAAUCAUAAUCAAGAGCGCAGAUAGUACUUCCUUUUGGCUAGUUUAGUUAAGCUCUUUCAAUGCCCAAAACAGGUCUUUACUGCUCUUUUUUUCCUACUACGCACUGUUAGUCAUGCAUUUAGCUAAAUUUGAAAAUACAUCUAUCAUUCAUUUUAAAUGGAGCUAUCUCAAUGGUUCUUGUUAUCCUCUUUGUGAUUACCUAUAGGAACAUCUAUUCAUUGUAUGUGAACUACUACGAGCAAACUUGUACGAGUUCCAGAAAUUUAACCGAGAAUCUGGUGGAGAGGCAUAUUUUACAUUGAGCAGGCUGCAGGUUGGUUUUAUUAGAGCCAUAAUUUGAACUGAUUCAACAAUCAGUGAACUUCUUUGCAGAGGAUAUUUUCAAGCUGAGUUGGAGAAAUCCCAAAAUGAAUAUUUUCCAAUUUUUACAGGGCAUUGCUCGGCAAUGUUUGGUGGCAUUAGAGUAUUUGCAUGGCUUGGGAGUAAUCCACUGUGAUCUGAAGCCUGAAAAUAUUCUUAUUAAAAGUUAUCGAAGAUGUGAGAUAAAAGUCAUUGAUCUUGGAAGCAGUUGCUUUCAGACGGAUAACUUAUCCCUCUAUGUUCAGUCUCGUUCUUAUAGGGCUCCUGAAGUCAUCCUGGGGCUAUCAUAUGACCAGAAGAUUGAUCUUUGGUCACUUGGUUGCAUACUGGCCGAGUUAUAUUCUGGGGAGGUAUUUGUUUGAUUCUUAUUUUAUCUGUUUGGCUGCAUUUUGUACAUUAUGUGGUAUGCUCAGAGUGGGUCAGCAAAGAAAUUUCUUUUACUUUAUUCUGAAACUUUCGAAUUCUUUUCCUUGUGACUGAAAAUUGGAUUGUGUUUUGUGCACUUGUUCCUCACAGCAUAACUGUUUUCCCAGGUGCUUUUCCCCAAUGAAGCAUUAGCAUUGUUGCUUGCACGUAUUAUAACAGUGCUUGGGCCUAUUGUCAUCAACAUGUUACAGCGGGGACAGGAAACACACAAAUAUUUUACGAAAGAAUAUGACCUUUACUAUAUAAAUGAGGUUUGUUACUUGCAAUGCUAUCUCCAUCUACAGUGUCAUGUGUUACCCUUUUAUAGCAGAUUUGGAAAUUAUUGAAGUUUAUAGUCUCACUGAACUUUGUCCAGUUUUCUAGAUUAGGCCUGUUAGACUAGUGCCCCUUAAUCUAGGCGUGGAGGAAGAGGCCUUAGAACAGCUAAUACAUCCUCAUUCUUUCAGUUUGAGAGGAACUUUAUGAAACAUCAUCUGUUUGCGCUAGAUUGUGAUCCAAGAAGUCUUUGAGAUGCAAAUCUUUGUACCUAUUAGAAAAGUGGUUCUUUUUUUUUUUUAAAAAAAAAAGGGCUUUAUACUUUUGAGGUAUAGAGAAGCCUAGGUAUGAUGAGGUCAAGUUCCAUGUCAAACUUGUGACUUGUACAGGACAACAUAACAGUUACACGGAAAAGAAACAAAGCUGCAUAUAGUUUGUGGUGCAGUAAAGUCGUUUAGGUAUUGACCUACAAGAACAUAGAUUUGAUUCCAUCUUCUCCCAUCUUAGGAACCCAGUUAACACAAGUAAGGGUGGUCACUCAAUGCGGAGACAACAAAUUAAAAGUAUGGUUCUAAGCAUGUUUUCAGUCCUAUCAGUUGGUCAAUGGUGGAUCAUAGAAGUCUUUGAUGAACGAUAUGUGGUCAAAGACUUCUAUUAUCCGUCAUUGACAGAUAGGAUUGCUUGAAACAUGGGGUUAUUGAUUAUUCAUUUUUCCCCUAACUUUGUUCUAAAACUUGUUGUGACUUUGCAUAUUGACGUGGUCGUAGGAGACUAAUCAAUUGGAAUACAUAAUUGCUGAGGAGUCAUCGUCAUUGGAGCAUCAUCUGCAAAUUUCUGAUCCUCUAUUUUUAAAUUUCAUAAGCAAAUUGCUCGAGAUUAAUCCUGAGAGGAGGCCAACAGCAAGGGAAGCAUUGGGCCACCCCUGGCUGUCUCAAGACUUGUUAUCCUGUCCGGAGUCCUGAAAUAGUUGGUCAUUUAUCUCUUGCUUGUAUCUUUACUCAGCACAAAAGGCUCACUUCACUUACUCUGAUUGGGUCCGUAAAUAUGUGGUUGCAUUUCCAAUUUGUAUAGCGGGUGUUGGACAUAAGUGGUUUUGCUUGGUUCCUUGGGAGUUUUUGCUUAAAAAGGCGGCAGGGAAUUGCUUUUGGGGAACGGCAAGGUGUUGAUAUUAUUCUUUUUUAGAUCCUGUAGUUUCUCAUGCAUAGAUCAUACUGUCAAAGCUACAAAGGAUUUUGAUGUUCAUAAUGUAUUCAUCCACAGCUUAUUAGAUUUAUAUACUAUAUCUUCAGCAAAUAAGAGUGCGCUGGAUUGAAUGGCAUUGGCAACUGAAUUCCCACUUUUUUGUUGGAUUAGUUGUGACCACCUUAUUGUUUGUGGAGUGAACUUGAAAGUAAAAGUCAAGCUACUGCUGGAGGCACCUGUGGUUAAAAAUCAGAAUGGCUGUAUCUAAGUUGGUUCUGCAUUAAUUAUGAAGAACUGGAGCUGCAAUAAACAAAUAGCAGAACAAAUCUCUUGCCAAGAUUUUACGAAUGCUGUUUUAUAUAUAUAUAUAUAUAUAUAUGAUGUUUUCACAGUGGUAUAACGAUUUUUGGGACGGCUUAUGACUUUUCGAAGACGCAAAUAAGUAAGAACCAACAGGGGUAUCUGUUUCAAAAGAACGUUGUAGAUCGAGAUCCCAAGCACGAAGAUAAUUUGAUUUGAGGAAUGCCCAAAAACCCAUUAUUUAGAGAACAAUUUGUUGAAGUAAGGCUGUGAGCCCGACAUUUAACAACACGUUUCUGUAGUUUACUGUUUGGAAGUUGGGGCGGCGAUUGAAUCUGAAGUUUGCAGUACCAAGGACAUAGAAUUAUUAUUCAUAUCUCCGAUGAUUUUGGGAACCUUUCUUUGAAAUUUGAAUUGAAACAUUCCUAUUCAUGAUUACAUAUUCUAAGUUUGGUAAAAGUCAACGUUGCCUUUUUUCUUUUUCUUUUUUUUGAGUCGGCUUCAAACUUUAAAAGAAAAUAGGGUGCACUUGAGGGUCAAGGUUCUCCUAAUCACGCUAUUAAUAUCCCAACCAAUUAAAUUGGAUAAAAAGUAAACAUGCUGUUACAAAAUUAGAAUAGGUUUCUAAUUGACAAAUAUAAUCAUAUGACGCCUGUAGUGUUACUUUCCAAAACUGUUUCAGUUAUUUUACCACAGACUUUAAUUUUUUUUUUUUUUUUUAGUGUAAGCAGGAAGACUCAAACCCGAGACCUCUUACUUACACUCCCUCCCCCCGUACCACCCAACCCAACUCUCCCCCCUUUUUUUUUUUGUUUUUUGUUUAGUGUAAGCGGGAGGAUUCGGGCCCGAGACCUCUUGCUUACACUCCCUCUCCCGUACCACAGACAACGAACAACUGAUCAGUUAAGAUUGUGCAAUAGAGUUAGGGGUGUAAACUGGUCUAAUUAAGUCAAACAUUUUAGUGUUUAAAUUUGUUUGAUUAUUUUAAUGAAUAUGAAACUCUGUUUAAGCUUGGUUUCUUUAUUUAUUGAAUCUAGCUCGAACGAAUUUUUAUCGAGUCAAACUUGAAUUAAGUUCUAGUUGAUUGAAAUUUUUACAAUAUAAUAUCCAAUUUAAUACUAAUCAAACUAAGCUGGAAUCGACCUUGAAAGUUGAUAGAAUAUAAAAUUAUGUUCAAAUUUAUCUUUGACUAGUUGGCGAAUCAAAUUUGAAUGAACUCUUAUCCAACUGAGUUCAAUUCGAGUAUUUAGUAGUUUUGUCCAUCUUUCAAUUCUAAAUAGAGUUAAUCCCACUUCUUUCUCCUCACUUCCUAAAUCUCACAUUUUUUCUACUUAAGGGAAAAAAAAAAUUGUGUGAUAGAGGAGUUAAAAGUAAUUAAAGACAAACAAGAAGUAAUUGGUGCAAGAAUACAAUAUGAUGGGCACGCUUUAACGUAACUGUUUUUUAGAAUUGGUGCACAUUGAAGUGUUGACUACGUGCGAUUCCAUAGUUUGACCACAUUUUUGCAUUAGCGCACAGUAGUGCUGAGAACUUAAAAUAUUACAAAUUUCACAGUUUCUAGAAAUGAAAAUAAGUUUUAUUUCUUCUUCAAGCUACAAAGUACAAUUGCUGCUCAUAUAAAUAAGAAGAAGAAAAAAAAAUAGUGCAAUUACAUGAUUAAGGGUUGAAGCUGAUAUGCAUUGGCUUCAAAUUAAAUGACUUCAUGGUCAUAGUAGUGUUAACUACAUGUGUGAGAGAACUUAUAUGAGAUAAUCAUCUCUCGAUUUAAGAUGGAGUAAAAAGUCUCCUCACCCGCAAAAUACUUUAGUCCUCCAAAUUUAUGUCAAAAACCUCCACCGGAUCAACUUUAUCUAAUUGUUUUUUUUUAAAAAAUUGUUGUACAAGAUCCAAUACAAUUUAUUUGGACUGUCAGCAGAACUGAAAAAUUGCCGAGUAUCCAAUGGACAAACAAUCAUUGGACAGAUCCUCGACAAUUGUAAGUAAGCCGGAUAAAUAGACUUGUAAUUAGAGGAAAGUAUUUGUGCUACUAGUAAGCAGACAGUCUUCUUUUUUGACCUACAAUUGUAACAACGACUGCUAGUGCUAGUAGCCUAGUACUAGUUUUUCUUCUUCCGGGAAGCCCCCAUCAAACAAGUUUGCCGUAAAAGAAGAACAGAAAACGAAGCAAAUUGUCAGAGAAAAAAGGCUGCAUAUAUCAGAAGCAGUAAGUAAAUGCUGGAUAGUGAAUGCUGAAAUGACUGGGCCCAACCCAAGUAUGCAGUAGCUGAUCAAGAAACAAGAGUUCUGUCUUACCGGGUUGCAUCCUGAGGCAAGUAAACGAUAGUAGUGCCUGUUUUUUGGGGGCUGGGGGAUCUUUAAAAUUCUGAAAUAGCAUCGGUUAUGGGAGGAGGAAGGGACAAAACCCUCCAACGAUGGAAAGAUUGUCCCUUCUCUUCUCCUCUUAUUGGCGGAUGCAGUCCCUGACUCCGCCUUUUUUUUAACUUUUUCUCAGACGCCUCUUUUUUAUAGUGAAGCGCGUGAGCUCAAAUGAUUUUUUUCCUGAUUCUGAAAAUAUUUUGUCCUUUUCUUUUUAAAUCAGUUCCAAUUGAAAGGUACGGGGCUACAAUUACUUUUUGUAUUUUCGUUUUUAGUUCCUUAACUCAAAGUAAUUUACUCAAAGGAUCAUAAUUCCAUAUGCUAUACUUUUCCAACUUCUAUUAAAAAUCCAUAUGCUUGGUCCUUGUCAAACAACCAAACAAUCUGUCUACUAAGAAGAAAAGUAUCACUUGAGUGCUAAUUUAAGAAGAAAUCAGCAAUGAAAAUUCUUCACUUGCACGUGUGACUAAACAAAGCGGGCAAUUUGAAAUCAAAUGAAAACGAGAAAUAGCAGUGCAUAGCAUAAACGUGAAACAGGGUCGAAAUUAUUCGUAAUUCAAGUCAAAUUUGACUAGUGUAAUUCAGGAGAGUUAAAUUCAUUCAAAUAAUUAAAUAUAAAUCCUAACACAAUGUAAAAGUCAUCCUAUUAAAACAUAGACAUACUACUGGAAUUUGAUUGGACAAGAACUCAAAUUUAAUCAAGCAAAACACGAACACAAUUUCGAGGAUGUUUAAGGAUUCAAAACUAACCAACUGCUCAUCACCUGGAUUGCAGUUGAAGAACAGAAAAGAAAGAAAAUUUUAAAAAGAAUCAAGAAAAGUAUUGGAGUGGUAAAAUGAAUCAACUACUACUAGUAUAGAACUGAAACAUCCAAGUUCCUUUCAUCCCCCCAAGACACCCUCCCCAAACGCGUGCCGUCAACUCUCCCAUUUUCCCUUUCUUUUUUUCCUUUUCUCUCUCUCAAUCAACACCACAACCACUUCGUCGAGGCACCACCUUGACCACAACUCCGUCGGCACCUACGCCACCACUGAAAAUUAUGGACUGAAUUCCCAAAACUCCUCACCACACUUCUUAUAUAUAAACUCCUACUUAACUGGAAAAAUAAGAUACUAAAUAUAAAAGAACAAAAAUCAGUGAGCCAAAACUCAAAAGCCUUGUAUGAUGGCGGAGCUGGCUCAAUCCGCCGACGUCUACGCGCCGAAGACUAUACAAGUUUGGAGAGCACUAUUAAACUGGCUGGCUUUCUUCUUCCAGAUCUUCGUUCAGAUCAUCAGAGGCACGCCGUCGCUGACUCAGGUCCUGUCUUACGUUGGCCUGCGCCACUCCUCUCUUCUCUCUUCUUCAUCGCCUCAGUUCAAGCCUUUACCUGUCGUCGAGUUACAGGAGCCUGAGCAUCCUCCUCCUCCCCUUUCUUCCGCCGUUCAAAUUACAUCCGGCGCCACCUCUGAUGGUGGACUUCUCGAUAAGCUCACGGUAGAUUCAUACUAGUUCCAUUUUGUGACUUGAGAACUUCAAUGCAUUUAAUAUGGAAGAUAUAUAUAUAUAUAUAUAUAUAUAUAUAUAGGUGUUUUAGGAAUUUUUAGUGUGAUCUUUCUCUGGGGAUUUAUGGUAAUUUUGCCUAAUUCUUGUGUGAGCGAAGUUAGUUAUUACUGUUGGUUGGUCUGGAGCAUGAUAUUUUUAUUGUGUUGGGGAUGAAAUAGUUAACACUUUGCAGAGUUCUUACUGGAUCUUUUAAAUCUAUCAUUUGUUUCGGCUGACCUCUUUUUACAAUCCUGAUGAGGCACAACAUGCAUGAAUUCAGAAAGAGAUGCCUUUGUGUUUGAGCUUGGAGUUUGUAGAAACACUUGCGUAAAUGGGGUGAAAGUAGAGUUAUUCUUGAGAGCUGUUUCUAAGUAAAACCAAAGAUUGGAUUUUGUGGACUGGAAAAAAGCAGCCCUGAGAUUUUUUUUUUUAAGUAAAAUUUUCCCUAAUCUGGAACCUGAAAGGGUAUAAAUAAUUAUACUCCUUAUAUUUUCCUGCUGUUGUCUGCUGUAGAGUUGUUGACUUUCUUAGCAGAUAUUUCUUUACAGUCUUUGCCUUUCAGUAAGAGUUUCUGUGCAGUUGUGAUGGAUGCUGUUUUCAGUAAGUGCAAUAGGGAGACGUGGUAAAUGCUGUAUUACUAUAUGUUUUCUGUACUUAUUUUGAGAAAUUUCAAUCGCCAUGUUAAGAUGGUUGCUAUGGGAAUAUACAUAUCGAGAAAAGGGAGGAUGUAUGAGUUGUUCUUGUUGCUGGAAACCAAGAUAGGAGAAUUGAACUUUGAGCUUGGUCUGAAUAAUUAUGCACACUAUUUGUGACUUCUUGAGACUUGUAUUUGAAUAAGAAUAGAUGUUCGAGGAAAAACUGAGUCAAAGAUUAUUCCAGUUGAAUGGUUGUGUGAAUUACCUAGAUUUUUCUUGCUUUCGGAGGACCUUAGGUGGCUCAAGCUAUGAACUUCUGGUUGCAGGUGGUUCUGGACUUGGAUGAAACUCUAGUUUGUGCAUAUGAGACAUCUAGUCUGCCUUCUAUGAUACGUAGUCAAGCCACUGAGGCUGGGUUAAACUGGUUUGAACUGGAAUGCGUAUCUUCCGAUAAGGUGAUCGUGCAUGUUCAAUUCACACUAAAAUAAUUCAGAGCAAAAUAUCUGAGGUGAAUGUAUCUCAUUUUGGUUAUGCUUUGAUUUCAAGGAAAUUGAAGGCAAGCCUAAGAUUAACUAUGUGACGGUGUUUGAGCGUCCUGGAUUGCAUGAAUUUCUCAAACAACUCAGUGAAUUUGCCAACCUUGUAUUAUUUACUGCUGGCCUUGAAGGUUUGUUCAAUACAGGGCAAUUUCUUUGAUUUUCUAUGCUUUACUCUCCUUUUCCAGUUAAAUCCUUUUUUUACUGUUUUGGGGAUUUUUUUUUUUGGGGGGGGGGGUUAUUAUUGUUGUAGUUGAUUGCAUUUAUAUAUAUAGUUGCUUAAAUUAACAGUGCUUUGUGCUUGCACCUUGCAGGGUAUGCUAGGCCUCUUGUAGACAGAAUAGAUGCUGAAAAUAGGUUUAGUCUCAGACUUUAUCGACCGUCAACCAUUAGCACGUAAGUGUAGUAGUGAUCUCAUUCGACGUGUCUUGGGUAAUAUGUUUAUUAUAUUAUCUUGGGUUAAAGUUACAUUAAUUUAUAUGGGAAGAACUUUUGAUUGUUCUUAAAUCUACUAGUUAUACUUGAGAGUCAAGUUGAUGUCUGCACAUAUGUUUGGAAGUAUCAAAACAAGUUGACUUCUGUAUAUAUGUUUGGAAGUAUCAAAAAAGUAAUAUAAGAGACUUUUACUCUUCUGGGAAGAAAGAGUUAAAAACUUACUGGAGGAAAAGAAAAUGAAGAAGAAAGAAAUUACUAAAGCUAAGAACACAUAUCUAGCUGGCAAAGAAAAAAGAGACCAAAAAAAAAUCUGGCUAUAUAUUGUGGGAUAUCCAUCCAGGCUUAGUACAAAACGAGUACUCUUAUAUGUAAUGUAACAUGAAACAUGAAACAGUGUAUCUUGGACCUCUUUGGUGAACUCCUCUUGGUUUUCUUCUCUAAACUAGUGGAAUCAAUGCUGUGGUUAUAAUCCUCGACCACUAGUUAUUAAGUUUUCUGUUCUUGACUGUUAACUCUUUGGGAGAGAGGUCCUCUUCCACUUUGAGCUUUUGGAUGAAUUCCAUAUGGGUGCUUGAUGUAGCUGUUGUGAUUCAUAGGUCAUAAUAAGGUUGAGUUACAUUGAAAGUUAACCAUUUAACAGAAGACCUAAUUGGGCUAACAUAUCAUGGUCAAAGAUGACCUAGCACUAUUUCUUUUCCUUCGGAAAGUCACAUCAAAUGUGGAUGACGGCCCAAGAUAAAAUAGCUUUACAUUUUGAAUCAAAGUACGCGUCUACGGUUUGAUAUUGGCACCAGAUUUUCUCUGUAAGAGACGUCAUGUAAACCAUAGGUCUGUGACCAGGAUAAUGUGCUCAUUGAUCAGUGGUUAAAUAUAGGGUAAAGAACACUCAAAUUGGGAUAAGGUAUUCUCUCUGUUUUGGAGCUUGUUUAACUGGUGAAUUGUUGGGAGUUAGUAUAUUGUUGGGAUAACGGUAUUCUUUCUGUUUUGAAGUCCUUUGACCUUAUUGAUAUAAAAAUGUCUGGUGGACAUUGUAAGAGAUGAACAAUUACAGGAAAAUGGUCAUGUAGGAAGAAUGGUUUCUGUGCUUCGAGCUGUUUUUGCAAUUACCAGACCCCAUAGUUUUCGUGAUUAUUGUUAUUUAGAUUUCUUGUUUUCUGUUUAAUUGCAUAAUUACUUUCUAGUAUUGGUGAGGUUAAUUUUGAUCAUCAUUUAGAGAUUUAUAUUACAUUCUUAAAAUUUGAUGGAACUGGAAUAUUCAAGGACAAAGCAGCUGAGCUAUUUCCAGAACAUGUUGUCAAGAUAUAUUGUAAGUCAGCCCAAAUUUUUUAUGAAUUGAGCAGAUUUUGGUGAUUAUAUAUUGAACUAAAGAAAAAUGGUAAUAAUGGUGGCUCAGAAACUGUCACUGCUCUGAUGCAUAUACACAUCUACUUGAGGGGGUCGACUGAGUUUCCUUGGAGCUAUAAAUUUCAGAUUUCCCUGAUUUCUGAAGUGUGGGGAAUGGAUAUUCAAGCAUUUUGUGUAAAAGCAAUUAAACAUUUUGCAUUUGCAGUUACUUCUCCCUCCCCUUCCAUUUAAAGAAUUUUGAGCUAAAAUCCUUGUGUGGGCACUCGCAUGUCACGUGUGUUAAUACAUACUAGAGACAUGAUGUUGUGAGUUUGUAUGGAUCUUAGUUAGCUCACAGUUCAUUAGUCUGCUGUAUGUAGGGAUGACAUCAGGUAACAUUAAGCUAUGUCAAUUUUAUUUUAUCUUCUUUGAUUUUAUAUUAUUUUAGCACUUGUGUUUGGGUGUUAGAGAGUUCUAGUUUUUCGGGUAGUAAUUGUCUCCUCCAAUGAGAAUCCACAGAGCACUGAGAGGUCAGUGAUUUGUCGAUAGAUAUGGAAGAUCUAUCUUGAUAUGGAGCAAGCCUGAUGGUGAAAGUUACUAUUCUUUGCAGGUCAACAUUCUUAAGCGAAGUUCACUAAGCCGAUAGUUGACAAGAAAUAGAGCAUGGUUUUUGGGGGCAGUCAUUAUUUUUCUCUAGCUAAGAUUUUUUGGCAUGGUAACACAACUAUUCGAAAAAGUUCUUGAAGCAAAUUUCGAUGGUAUCUAUCUUACUGUGCCACCAUUAUUGUAUGAACAAUGUAUUGGACUAAGUUGACCAGUUUGAGAGUCCUCGUUCAUGUUCUGCUUGAUGCUCAAACGACUUCAGACGCUCUUUUAUUAAGGAAUUAAAAGAAUAUUAGUAGCUUUCUGAUUUCAUUUAUUAUUUGGUGCAAGUAUUCUAUCAACAAGAAAAUGCUUUACAUGGGGGGAAUUGCUACUAGUACAUUCGGGAUAUUGGUUGGUUAAAAGUUUGGAUCUUCUUGUUGAGGAUCCAUAGUGUAUUCAUGCUUUUUUGCUGAUGUUGAAGAUUGAUCGUGUUUUCAUGUUUUGGAUGCUGGAUAUGUUGCAGGGAAUAUAGAGAGCAUGUGAAGGAUUUGUCAUGUGUAUCAAAGGAUUUGUGUCGAAUGGUUAUCGUUGAUAACAAUCCAUUCAGUUUCUUGUUGCAACCACUAAAUGGUAUUCCAUGCAUACCAUUUUCAGCAGGGCAACCGCAGGAUGAACAGGUACCAUUGAUUACAGUAGUUGGAUAAAAACUUUUGUCAAACUAUGUCCACUGGGUGAGACGCACGCUAAUUUAAACAUGCACAUGCUCAUCAGCUUUUGGAAGUUAUCCUUCCACUUCUCAAGCACCUUUCUCAGCAGAAGGAUGUAAGGCCAGUGCUGUAUGAAAGGUUUCAUAUGCCUGAAUGGUUUCAAAGACAUGGGAUUCCUGCAUCUUGGUGGGCAAACUAUGAAGGCAUUGUUAAAAAUUGAGAUAGUUUAUUAUUCCUGGAUGCACCUGGAAAGUAAAUCUUUUAGAAGGGCAACAUCUCUUCCCACGAAGAGUGAAGUUUUGUAUAGCAGCAUUUUGUGCAGAGCAGCAGCUUUGAAUUUUUCACAGCCGCUUCACAGAGGUGUCUCCAAUGGAUGAUGCACAUACUGCGAUUCUGGAAACUAAAGAUUCUUGUGUAACUCUGUUCAUAGCUUUCAAUUCAUGUGGGAUCUAAUGUACUUGUCAGAUGUUGUACACUGUAUUCUAGCCAAUAAUUAUUUGCAUGUUAGCAGUAUUCUUCUGUACAGAACCUACCAUUGGAUGCUACUUUUAGUUGUCAAGAGUUGUUUAUUUAGUACAAGUUAGCUUGUGCCGUUGAAACCAGAUUAUUGUUGCAUUCUCACUUAGUCUUGCAGAGAGAUGUAAUUCAUCAUCUGUCUGCUUGCCAACUCGAUUAGUAAUAGAAGGAUGCAUCCAAUGGAUUUUGGUAUGCCUAACUCGUCUGUUCGCUUUGUGGGAAAGGUCAGGUAGACAUUGAAGAAUGCCAUGUUUGCUGCAUGAUUAAAAACUUGUUCACUAAGUCAAGAGGAAUAAGGAUAGAUUUUCUGGACAUCGGCAAAUUGUGAAAUGAUGAUAUCAAAUCGAUUUAAAGAAAGUUUCAGACGAGAAACUGGUGUCAUUAGUCGCCUGGCUUCCAUGUUUCGAUAAUCACCAUACAUCUUCAGUUUUCCAUCCCAGAAAAGUACAUCAUUUCUUGAAGAAACAUAAACUGAUGGAUUUCUGCCUGGAGUUGAGGGUUGCCAGCUAAAUACCGAGCAAAUGAAGAAGUGGUAUGCAGCAAGAAAACAGCCCACCGUGACCUGGUGAUCCCCGGUACAGUUAGCUAGGCUAUUGGGAAAUAGGCUCGUAAUUAACAAUAACUGAGGAUAAGGAUUUGCUAAAGAGUUCGACAUCAUGAUUGUGUCUCAAACCCAGACUAUCACAAAAUGGUUGAUUAACCUUUCUACAACAGCCCCAUGUUCCUUCCUAAAAGCCCUUCAUGUUCAGCCAGAAUCGAAAGCAUGGACCAAUACAUUGUUCAAGAACUUCUAACACGCUUUUGUUUUACUAAUCGUGUUUAGGUGGACCCCAACAGAGCGCUGGCCUGUUAUUAAAGUUGGCAAAUUAACAGAACAUACCAUAUUUCUUUAAUUCAAGAUCAUAAUCUGUUUCAUAAGCACGUCUGAACAAUCUAAUCUGUCACCCUCAAAAAAAAAAAAAAAUCUUAUCUGUUCAAGAAGCGAAGUUUCUUUGAUUUUUGAAACAUCCCAGAUCAUCGCGAGGUAAGAACAGAAUCCCAAGCAGAUAGUUUUUUACCAACACAAUUUUUUAAGUUAAAAAAUGAAAUAGCCUUAUGCAUUGUCAUCUAAAUUAGGUUCAUCAAUAUCAUGGUACAGCUGCAAUAACUAGUCAAUGUUGUUCUUGAAGGGUGCAAGGUAAGUCCUCGUGGGAAGUUUCUCUCUCACAUGAACUAUGAAGGCAUCAAAUAUUAUGGUUAUGGUGGUUGGUCUCAUAGUUUGUAUAUAAUAGAAGCCCAAUUGAGUUGUUAAAAGAAGCAAAUGAUUGUACAAAUGGUAUGACUAAUCGAGCAGGGAUGAUUGCCAUCAAAAGGCAAGUCUGUCCUAUGCUAAUUGGAAUUGGUGACUAAUUGAUGAAGAAUGAGCAUCGGAAAAUAAAGAAAAAAAAAAAGGAAAGCUUGAUUCAUGUUUUAGUAUUCCAAUGGUCAACACGGAAAAUAAAAUGAUGAAAAAAGAAACGUCCAAUGUACAUCAUUUGCUUUUCAGAUCAGGAACUCAAUUAUUUUCUCAUUCAAUGUAUAUUUUAAGAAACCGAAAAGCAGAAAAGUAAGAAGACAUAAAAGAGCAAGGGUCAUAGCCAACUGCUCCAACAACUCAAAGUUGCAUACUUCUCAGAGUUGUAUUCCAGCAAGAAAGCAUACAUAAUUUGACCCCAUUUGCAUUUUAACACCGCUGUUCCAAGAAAACCUCCAAGGAGCAUGGAUGUCGUCACGUAAAGCAUAUAGCCACCACUAAUGUUCUUUGCUGUAAUUCUUUUUUCUUUCGUCUCUUAGAUUUUCUAUGGUGUACCAGAUCUAAUUAAAUUACUUCCCUGAAAUUGCUGCAUGGCAUGUACUACCAAUUAACAGUCCAUUUGUUUGAAGCCCUGCUUUUAUUUAGGAAGUUAGCCUUCCUUGCAUCUUUUAUUUUCCCCGGAAGCCCGGGUCGGGUGGCAUUGAGAAAAAAGAACAACCCACAGGAAUGAGGAGGAAGGCUUUUUGUGCUUGGGAGGUCUUGACAAAUUUCAGUCAUGAAAUUCAAAAGCAAAGGACAGGAGCAGUUGUAUAGAUCCUCAAGAGUUCUGGAUUAAGAAUUACCUUUUUCUUUGACGACGAUUGAUUGGAAAUAGAGUGGAUCCCUAAGGGUCAAAUUUGCUCCCCUAGUUGAAUAUUAGUGAAGAUUAAAGUAUAUAUUGAACUAUUUGCUGUUCAGGUUCUUGAUAGUGAAAGAAUUCACUCAGAGUAUUUCUAUCUUUGGCUUAUUUUAUUCUCUUUUAUCCUUAUAAUUGAAAUUGAAAGGGUAGCAUUAUCCUGACAAAAUUUUUACUUUCAACCUACAAAUAUGUGAAGCUAUAAUCUAUAUAUUUUCUUACAUAAACAAAAAUUCAAAUUAAGACAAUUAUUAUUAUUUUAAGAAAGGAUAACACUGUCGAUUACCUUAAUGCAUGUAGUCUAAAAACCAAAGAAAACAAUCAUAGAUGUGGUCUCAGACUUCAUACACGGCAAAGACCAGAGAUGGCAAAUGGACAGCAAAAUGAUUGGUUCCAUGGCAUCGCAAAUAAAGCUAGAGGCAAUUGAAUUUGAGCCCCCUUAGUAGUUGUUCCAUCCCACAUAUAUGCUAAUUGUUAUUGUUUUUCAGGCAAUUGGGUGGAACGGGCCAUUUGCUGAUUUUAACACUGUUGUACUCAAUCGGGCACGGUAGGAGCAGUGGUGGGUAGCCGGUACUCCAUCUCUUCCCCUAAAUACCAUACUCCACUUGAACAUGAACUUGGCUCCUACCAAAGAAUUUAAGUCCUGAUGGGUGUAACUUGCCACAAUAUAUGUGAUUUCCUCGACUCAAAUCUAUACGGAUGCAUCUAGUUCGAUUGUGAUUCAAUUCUCGUCGAUUCUCUAAUUAAUCCAGUUGGACCCUUCCUUCAAUUAGAUUAGAGUAAAAAUAGGAGUAGAAUAAAUAAACAACGAAUGACAAAAAAAACACGGAAAAAAAAAAAGAACAUGGCUCCUUAUUAAUGCGGAGAGCACUUAUUUUGGAAUGACAAUAAAUGAUUUUCACUUUUUUUUUUGGAAUUUAACCUGAAUUUUCCACGAGUGGAAGAAUAUAAACACCAAAAGGAAACUGUGAAAAAAGCUUGAAGAAGAAAUAUAUUUACUUGUAAUUCCAUGUUGAUUUGUUGAAUCGGCAGGAGUAAUACGCAGCCUUCUUUCGAACGUUCGUGUUGAUUUCUCAAGUCUUGAGUCAUGCAAUUCAAUUUCAAUUCGUUAGCCAUCUCUCUCAUUUGCCCCGGAGAAACGUUCCAAGAAAUUCCUCUUCAUCGGCAGUUUCCAUUUGCCAAUGACCCGAUCAAAGGAGAUGAAAUGUAAUCCACUGGCUUGCUGGAUUUUCCUAGAAAUCCAGUGUACCUUUUCUUCCUCUUAUCUUUCAGCUGUCCCUCUCAAACUUUUUGCCCCUCUCCCACCCACCCCCCUCCCCUUUUUUGUUUUUUAUUGUUGCAGGGAAAACUUUUCUGUAACUUAAUUUAUCAUAUUUAACAGGGAGGAGAGUCUAAAGAACGGAUAUAUAGAUUUGAUUCGAUUAAAGAGGUGUUUUGAUACUUUUUUUAAAAAAAUUUCACAGUAGAUGAGACUCCUAAUCUACUACACAAAGAGUGAUUUAAUCCCUGUUUGAUAACCACUAAGCCAAAACUUGGUAGUUCUCCCACCCCCUUUUAAAAGCAACAUUCUUUCGAUUUGCCAGUAGACCAUUUACAUUGAUUUAGAGUCUAUACACAAGUACUGAAUCAACAUAUAAUCACGUAAUAAAUAUUAGGAUUUUAUUUGAGUAAAUCUUAUAUAUACUAACGGUGUAUAUACUAUCACAAUUGGAUAUACGACAGAUAUAUAAAAUUUGAGUUUCAAAUUUAAGUUCGGAUUAUAUGUCAUGCAUCUAACGGUAAAAGUGUAUACACUGUCAGUGUAUGGAAGAUUAAUCCAUUUUGAGUAAAUCUUGUAUUUAAGUUUCAAAUUCAAAUUCGGAUGAUGCGUCAUACAUCUCACGGUAAAAGUGUAUAUACUGCCAGUGUAUAGAAGAUUAAUCCAUUUUGAGUAAAUCUUGUAUAUACUGACGAUGUAUACACUAUCACGAUUAGAUAUACGAUAUAUAUAUAAAAUUUGAGUUUCAAAUUCAAAUUCGGAUUGCAUUCAAGAGUCAAAAGGAUGCAUUUUGUAAAAGAUGCACCAAAUUUAAGCUAGUUUCUUUUAGCAGCCACAAAGCUGAGGCCAUCUAUAUUCACUUUUAAUUUUUUUGAAGGCAUGAAGCUCAUGUUACAUCAGGGGUGAGACCAUGCAAAGAAACUCGUGUUAUUUGAAUUUGACCGCUUAGUUCCUUACAUUUGAAUUUCAACUUUAGUAAGUAUAACAGCCCGCCAUUUAUGUUCUAACUUAAGCCCGUAUUAAAUCAUUAAAAACCCCCCAAUUAACGACACACCCUAAAAUUGGUCAAUACUAGUAUUUUGACCCGUGCUAUGCGCGGAGUUAUAUUUCACUUUGAUUUCUGCGAAGGUACAAUGCAACACACCAUAAGUGAAAAGAUAAACAACGCGGGCCUGUAACACUGACCAGUGACCGCCACCUAAGCCGGAAUAGUAUUUACCAGGUAGUUUACAAUUGGAAAUAUUUUUUUGAUUGUAUUUUUUACACUUGGGAAUUUCGUAUGACUGCAAGGCUAUUGUAUUUUUUUACAUAAUAUGUGUUGAGAUAUGCCAAUUUCUCUACAGAUUUUUUUAGAUUGUUUUUGAUAUUAGAAUAAUUUAGUUAAUAAAAGAAUACGUCUUGUUAUUAGGAUAUAUGUUAUUCAAAGAUCAUAUUGGUUUUUUAACAAAAUAUUUUAGUUAAGAUUUGCUAGUAGAAAAUUAUGUUUUGUUGAGAUUUUAUAGGAUAAUUAUUAGUUAGAUGUUUUGUUAAUUUGUUUUACGUAAGUUGAUGAAUGAAUAACAUAAGUUCAUUUUCCAGCUUCAUACAAGUUUCUUAUAAGUCAUUUUUUUGCAACACUAAUAAAUACCUUUUUUUUUUUACAAGUUUCAUACAAGAUUAUGUUUCUCAAAAAUAUUUUUUUUGUGUACAUUAACUUCAUACUACAUAAAUACAAAUACUUUUGUAAACGCACCUCAAAUAUACCACACCAAUAACAUCUAAUACCAAUCAUAAUUACCUCAAAUCCAUUUACUAAUACCGAGAGAAACACAUGCCUACGUGGAAGCCCCUAACUUGUCUCGUAUCGCACAUGAGUUUCAGCAAUGUGGACCCACAUGCACCACGUGUCCGAAUAACAAUGCAGUUCUCGUACAACAUGAAACGCAGCUUAACAUUUUCCCCCUCAGAAUUUUAUGCAGUUGAACAAAGAGCCCCUUCCAGUCUUAAAAACAGUAGUGUAGCAACAAUUCUCUAUGCUUUUGCAAUUCCGGCCUCUCUCUCUAGGCCUCCCACCAAGUCCCAUCCCCUCUCUCUCUCUCUCUCUCUCUCUGCCAAAAAAAAAAAUGAGGGGGGACUGGAGGGCCUUAACCACCCUUUAGAUGAGUCCCCCACCUUCCGCCGCCACCAUCGCCACCGCCAUCAUCAUAACUACCAUCCUUAUAUUCACCGUCACCAACCCACCUCCCUCAGCCUAUGCACUCGGAGGCUCUGCCACCACGGUGGCCGUCAGCUACGGCUCGGCCACCACCAUCUGUACCUUACUCGCCGACCAACCCACCCAGCAAAUUCAAUGCUGGAGGAACGGCCAGGUUUUCCUAUCCAUCUACGCCCCCACCGUUUCUUUCGACUCCAUCGCUGGCGGUCUUGACACCGUCUGCGCUGUCCGCUCCGGCGGAUACAGCCUCCUGUGCUGGAAUGUUGCUAACUUCACCCCCAAAAGACUCUACCUCGGGUCUUCAACCUUGUUAACAAGCAUUACAAUUGGGGAUACUCAAAUUUGCGCCUUAACAAACGGUGCUACUAACGUCCGUUGUUGGCGCGGGGAGUCUCAUUCAGCAAGUUCGCCAAAUGGGACGUCGAGUUUCAGUUCAAUUUCAUCUGGGCUGGGCUUUUCUUGUGGAGUUGUGGGGAAUACUAGUAGGGUUGCUUGUUGGGGCAGUAAUACAAACACGGAUAUUCUAGCUUCAAAGAUAGAAACACAGUUUGCAAAUAUGUCGAUGAAGAACAUAUUUGCAGGUGGACAGCAUGCUUGCGGGAUGAAUACAGGUGGAGUGGUUAUUUGCAGAGGGAAUAACGACAGUGGUCAGUUAAAUGUGCCCGCUAAUUUCGGGUACGAGUACAAUGCCUUAGCUCUUGGUGCAAAUCAUACCUGUGCUAUUAGGUCACUAAACCACACAGUUGUUUGUUGGGGAGGAGGUGGAGAAUUUUCUAGCAGUGUUACGGAAGAUACCUCAUUUGAGUCAAUUGUUGCGGGGUUGGAUUUUACUUGUGGAUUAGUUACGAGUAAUUUUUCAGUGAUUUGUUGGGGGCCUGGAUGGCCUAAUAACUUGAAUCCUGCAGGCGUCGGGCUUCCAUUGCAGAGGACUCUUCCGGGGCCAUGUGUUCGUAGUAUUUGUAGAUGUGGUAUAUAUCCUCAAUCUCAAACACUCUGCUCUGGUAAUGGUAAUAUUUGUUGGCCUUGUGAUAUUAAAAUUUUAGCUCCACAGCCACAACCAUUAGGUCCAUCACCAUCGCCGCCUCCGCCUUCAAUUGGUCCAUCACCGUCCUCGCCCUCUAAAGCGCUGAGGAGGGGUUUAUUGGCCUUUGCCAUCGUUGGAUCAGUUGGGUGUUUUGCUGGGAUUUGUACUGUAGUUUAUUGUUGGUGGACUGGUGUUUGUUUUGGGAAAAAGAAAAUUCAUAAUUCAGUGCAACCUACUAUUAGUGCUGCUAGUGCUCCGCAGCAAUCAAACAGUAGUCCACCCUCAAGAUCAUCCACUCUUAGGCGGCAAGGAUCACGCCUGAUGAGGCGACAGAGGAGCGGAACAUCGUCAAAACAUGCGGACAGGGCAGAGGAGUUUUUGUUUCAAGACCUCGCUGCGGCCACCAACAAUUUCUCCAUGGAGAACAAGAUUGGUGCUGGGAGCUUUGGGGUUGUUUACAAAGGCAAAUUACUUGAUGGGCGCGAGGUUGCGAUUAAACGGAGCGAGACAGGUCCAAGAACGAAGAAAUUCCAAGAGAAAGAGAGCGCAUUUGAAUCAGAAUUAGCAUUCCUGUCGCGGCUUCAUCACAAGCAUUUGGUUAGGCUCGUGGGGUUUUGUGAGGAGAGGGAUGAAAGGCUUUUGGUUUACGAGUACAUGAAAAAUGGCGCGCUUUAUGAUCAUCUGCACGACAAGGACAAUGUGGAGAAGAGCAGCAGCGUGGUGAAUUCUUGGAAAAUGAGGAUAAAGAUUUCACUGGACGCUGCUCGGGGCAUCGAGUACCUUCACAACUACGCAGUUCCACCCAUAAUUCACAGAGAUAUCAAGUCAUCCAACAUAUUGAUCGAUGCAAAUUGGACUGCCAGAGUCUCUGAUUUUGGAUUAUCACUAAUGGGUCCAGAAUCGGAGCAAAAACAUUUUAGGCCGACCAAGGCAGCUGGGACAGUAGGCUACAUCGAUCCAGAGUACUUCGGUCUAAACGUAUUGACAGCAAAGAGUGAUGUGUAUGGUCUUGGGGUGGUAUUAUUAGAACUCUUGACGGGGAAGAGGGCUAUUUUUAAAGCAGGCGAAAACGAUGGUGCACCAAUGAGCGUGGUGGAUUAUGCAGUACCGGCAAUUAUGGCUGGGGAAUUGACCAAGAUUUUGGACCCGAGGGUCGGGCCGCCGGAGCUCAACGAAGCGGAGGCGGUGGAGCUGGUGGCGUACACCGCAAUGCAUUGUGUGAAUUUGGAAGGCAAAGAUAGGCCGACCAUGACCGAUAUCGUUGCUAAUUUGGAACGAGCAUUGGCUCUGUGCGACGAUAGUCAUGGCAGCAUAUCAAGUGGUCCAAUAUCCAUUGUUUCAGAUUGAACUCAAAAACAACUCCAGGUCACAAAAUUUUCAGUUUUUUCUAUUUAUUCUUUUCUUUUUUUCCCCCCGGUCAUUAGUAACCAAUUGAUGUGGGGAUUCUUUGUUUUGGAGUGUAAAGAGUAGGAUAUUUGUUCUAACGCGGGACGUAGCCUAGAAUUUUAUGAACGCUGACAAGCAAAUAGAAAGAUCGAUAAUUUAUUUUCAUGGAACAGCUACACUACUGUAUAUCCUCAAUUUCUUUUCUGUCUAGAAAUGCUCAUGUAUCGUUUUUUUUUUUUUUUUUUGGGUAAUUUGGACUUGGUCAGCCUUAGAGGGGGCUUUUUAUCCAAGGUUUUUAUGGUUUCACAAAUGUCCUUAAAUAAAUAUUAGUAUAUUAGAACAUGGGAUGAUAUGUAUAUAUAUAUAUAAAACAAAAGAAGUCUAAAACCGUAACAAAAGUGGUCCAGCGGGGCAUUUAAAACUUGCACGUUGGGCUAAUUUACUUCCUACUGAGAAUUGACUUUGAAAAUUCCAUUAAAAGCGGUCAAUUAAAAUCAAGUAGUCGCUCCAGAUGAUGACACCUGUAGGGCGGGCUCUCCUGUAUCCUCCUCCCAAGGCGGACCCACCCUGAGUUGUUUUGUCCUCCUCUUCCUCCUGCACUGCACGUUGAGUUUCUAUCGACUGUCUCCCAGGAAAUGUGAACUCUUGCUGGCUGUGUUGCUGCUCUGGCGCCGCCGCCUGCAAAACAUGUUUACUCGGUCCUCCUAAGUUUUUUAGUAGAACUUCCAAAUGUUCGAGAUAUUUUAAUUUUAAUUUUUAUAUGCACCAAGAUUUCAAGAUAACCAGUGCAGUGCACGGAGGGAUGGAUUAAGUGAUACGAUAAAAAGAGAUUAUAAAUGAGACAUUUCGAAUUCAAAGCUUUUCAUUUAAAUAAUAAUAAAAAAAAGUCGGACAUGAAAAUAACUAGUACAUGACGUCUGUAUUAGUACUGUCUAAUGUUCAUUUGGUAAUUUAUUGGAUACCUUUCUUUUUAUGAAUUGUUAGUUUACACUAAUAGCUAGUACAUGAUGUCCGUAUUAGCACGUUUGUCAUUCAUUUAGCAAUUUGUUAUGGAUAAUUUUUUUUUUUAUAAAUCGUUAGUGUAUAAUUUUUUAAUAUUGAUAAAUUUAAAUCAGGUUACAUGACAUAAUUCAAAUUGAAAAUUUAAAUUAUACACGACGUCGCAUACAUACAUCUAAAAGUUACUCCCUCCGUCCCACUUUGAUAGUCUUGUUUUCCUUUUUCGUCUGUCCUAAAUUGUAGUCCACUUUCCCAUUAAGAAAUGUAGUAAUCUUUCAAAUUGUCUAAAAUACCCUUAUUAAAUAUCUUGUUAUUAAUACAUUGUUAUUAAAUACUAACCCACUACAUUGAAUACAUUGAGCUUUUCUAAUACUAACCCAUUAGCUGUAACUGAUAUUAAUUGGCACUCUUCGUGAUUAGCAUAAGGGUAUUUUAGGAAAUUAUUAAUCUAAAUUUAUGUUUCCAACUAAAUUAAUUACACUUUCUUAAUCUGUGUGCAAAAAAAAAAUCAACACUAACAAAACGGGACGGAGGGAGUAAUUCAUAGCAAAACCAAUUCUUGAAAAUGAUAGAAGUAACUAACGUUCACCAAAUUACUCCGGUGCAAACAUUCUUGGUAUUAAAAGUCGGGACAAUGAAUGGUUGGCGGUUGAGAGGUGGAUUUGUAAAUGGGCGGCCGCAGACCAGGCCUCCCCAUGCACUAAUUCCUUGCUUCCAAUUUGCUUGCAGCUCUUUACAAACAUUUUUUUUUUUUUUUUUUUUAAAAGAAGAAGAAGAAGAAGAAAUCCUUCAUUUUUAUUGCGGGGCGUAGAUCUCAACGAUGCACGUGAGGAGGAUGUGAUUCUAUUGAACCCGUGCUAGUGAGUCGUGAGAAGGGGAAGAACAAUCAAUCUUCACAGUUACGGUGGAGUGCGCCGAGGUUCUUUAUGGGAGGAUCCGAAGAAGCGAGAGAAAUUUGUGUUACAAAUCCAACGUAAGAAUCUACACUGCUGAUAAAUUAUCUGCAGUGAUAGCUACUAUCAUUUUCACGCCAGACACAAGAUAGAACGUCGUACCACAUUCCCAAUGUAAAAUUGGAGCUCGUGAUAUGAAUACGAUUGUGGAUUUUGUCAAAGAAAGACUGAACAUCUUCAUUUGCCCUGCCCGUGUCUUGAAUUCGUGAACACCCCAUAAUUAUUAAUUAAACAACUUUUUUGACUUUUCUUUACUUGUGACGUGGCUUCUGAGUCAAUUGGUCCAAGAACUUGGUCUAACUCAUCUUCCUGAAUCCUGAGUCAGUCGUCUACUCCGAGUUCGAACCCUCUCACCUCGUCACAGCAAUAUUUUGGCAGCAAGAACCUGGGAUUUAGCAUAAGAUAAAAAAGUCAUCCAGAUUUUUAAGUUGUAGAUAAAAAUAAUUGUGUUUUUUCUGCACAGAAAUCUUCAAAGCUUCAAUCCUCUGUCUGGUAAAAGCUCUACUACGGUUGACAACUUUUGAGAUGAGUGAUUUGUGCGUUCACUUUUUUGACCCAGAUAAGGAAGGAUUAAGGAGGGAAGGCAAGAAAAUUUCUCCAUUCUCAAGCCCAGAAGUCCUACCUCUCAAUUUCCCUUCUAAGACACCUUUGGGUCAAAGCUUACCGUUACAUGAAAGAGAGAGAACCUCUAGAUGGCCUUAUUGAGUGAGUAGUAAUAAUUUUGGAACUCGGGCAAUGCAUCAUUUGAUUUGGGGUUCCAAAUUCGCCCAUAUGAUAGGGAUUGGGGGAUUGAAAUGUUGAAAUCAGGAAUGCACUGGUAGUGUACCCCUUUUUUUUAAAAUUUUGUUUUAUUUAUUUAUUUUUUUAAAAAAAAGGUCUGUCCAAGUAAUUGAAUUGAACAUUUUUCCAUUUUCAUUGUCGUUUAAAAUAGCUGCAUGAAGCCAAAGGGAAGUUGUUGCGCUGCAGAGAUCCCCAACCAACCAAUGAUUACUACAGUGUAACGUGUACACUGUACACGACGACUCCUGCUCUUUCUUCGCGGUCAAAAUUUUUGGUCAUCUGAUGAUCCCGUCCACUUUUUGUUUGACUUGGUGAAUUUUUUGUUUUUUUCAAAGCACGCUCAUAUUGAUACCAAAAAUAGAGUAUUGAAUAUUGACUGAAGUAUGACAAUUGACAGGUCGGGGUAACCAACAGAACAGGGUGGGGUUAGCUUUGCUCAUCCCAGGCAAAUUGCUCGUUUGUACCACCUAAUACGAUCGAGCGAGCGAAAUGGACAUGCUCACGUAAAUGGACAGCAUCACAAGGAAGCAUAUAUUUUCUUUGUUCUUAAAAAAUUUAGAGAUUGCAACACCCAAUCUCCAUACGAGUCCCUUUUUUUCAUAGUGCAGAUUAGUAUAUACCAGUUCUUUUGUACGAAUAGGAUAAAUUGUUGCCGUUGAAGAAAAAAAAAAAAGUGAGGCUGGCUUGCUUAUCCCGAGCAAAUUGUGCGUUUGCAUUUCUGAAGCGGUCCAAUUUCUGUUUAUCCCAACCAAAUUUCUUUUUUAAGAUUUGCCAAAGCCGAGAAAGAGCAAAGACGAAAAGGGAAGGCAAUUAACAACAUCGACCCCCCCCCCCCCCCCACAGAAGCUAGAAGCACGUCCAAGCCUCGUCGUUCAUCCCUUAUAGCAGCAACCCAGACAAAUGGAUGAAGAUAAGGAGAAUCAUGGGAGGAUGAGGCCUAGUUGGUGUUGGUGGUACACGCUUUGAUUGUAAGUUCCUGUGGGGUGCGUCCACUAGAAUUGAAUCAUUAAAUGAUGCACGCCCCGCUAAGCCAAACUCUCCAUAUAUUCGGGAGGGGAAGAUGAAGAUGAGAGAUGUCGGUCGGGCAUGGGGUUAUACAGGGCUACUUUGUGGAGACCACGCGGGGCUAGAGCUUUUACUCCAGCCACCGCCGUGUGUGCGCGCCUCCGCCUCUCUCUCUAUUCGGAAGAUAUGCACACACCUGUUCCUGUUCCUGCUCCUGAUCGCCCCUUCUGCCGCCCCUAUUUAUUGUUAUCCAGACUUGUUCAACAUCCACCAAGAACCUUUCAACAAUCUUCUUUUACAAGUAACAUUCCGCUAGGGGCCGUAUUCUAUUACUUCCAUGCCUACAACAAUCAAUCUUCCUGUUAACUGGCAAACUCAAUACGCGAUCAAUGGGGUUAACAAAGUUCUUCAUGUGACUAAAUAACAAAUGGAUAAAAUCCAAGAUUCUGAAACAUCCUCUAGCCUAGUAAUAUAUGCUCGGUAAGUCCUACACGGUGCAGCUUUAUUAAAAUCAUUAAACAGAAAAAUGAAUUCUUUGAUGACUGAACCCACUCUCACUCUAUACUUACCUAAAACCACACUCCUUGACAACUGAUAGUAGUAUUACUACUACGUGCUAAUCAGAUUCGAGGGUAUAUUCUUCUUUGCCGUUGUAGUUCAGCUUCAUUCAUCCAAUCUGACAGCCACAAAAGGCCAUUGUAUCCACAGUAUGCUACUGCAAUCAGCGUUACCAAAAUGAUGACAAUCAAAAGCACCUUUCUCGUAGCACCACUAAUAACCUGCCCAGCAAUAACAGAAAUCACCCUUAGUAAACCUACAGCAACAACAAACACAAAAUGUCUCAUUACUUCUCUCACGAUGUGACAAACCUGCAGUCUGGAAGCUUUCUUGUCUUCCUGAACCCGCUCCCUUCGCCUUCUUCGUUUUGCUACGGGUUUCUCACCAUCUGGUUCCUUUUUCUGUGGAAGCAGAAGAAAAGAACUAGAACUUAAAUAUCAAGCAUCAGGCACAUGCAUCACAACAUUUCCAUCAUGGCAACAACCUAUACACAAUACAAGGUGUCUAAACUCCAUCAAAGAACAACUUGUCAACAAGAAUAACAUAAUCAAACUUUAGGAUCUCCCAUUCUUCUCUAAAAAUUUAAUCUUCUUGAAUUUCACAUAGCAGUCCCAAAAGACUGGCAUAUUUGUUGAUGCCAAAAGAAUAGCAAAUGUGACAUUAUCACAUAAAUCAACAUAUUUAACAGGAAGUCAGGAAUUGCCUGUGUCACUACAGAUUUACGAAGUUGUAACUCAGAAUCAGUGAUCUUCAUUUUACUCCUGCAAUCCGGAUCACAAGGGAGAAGUCCAAGUCCAAAUUGAGUUUUAGGCACAUCUUUGGGAUCAGACCCAGCAUUCCUGUAGGCUUCUUGCACGUCUUUGCACGACCACUCCUUCUUCAAGGUCUGGCAUCCGCACCGAACAAUAACCUUAUGCAAGGAAGAUAAAUAGUGAAAUUCAAACUACUGGUAAAAGAGUCUCAAAGUGAAAAUAUUCGGAAAAUCACAAGGCAGUAAGGACACAAGCACAUGGAAAGUAGAAUGAUGAAGUAGUGCGCUGCAAAAUUAAACUACAAAACUGUACUAGACAACUAUAAACAAAUUUAACUUCAGGAUCAUAAUCUGAAUUUUGCAGAUUGUUUUGAUUUUACAGAACGAGAAUCCAAAACACAUAGCUACAUAUGAGGAGAAAUUUCCAAAAGUAGGAGAAAAUGAUUGUUCAUCCACGUAACAUAAAAUUACCUUUUUGGAGCACUUGUCAGGUGAUGGACAUUGACCACGAUGACAGAUCUCUGGACAUAGAUGCGUACAGUUUGGUAGCUUUCUGUUGCGCCAAAAUCAAAACUUUAACAUCACUAAAUUAGUUCAUAAACUUGAGGUUUCAUUUGCAUACCUCUCCCAAAUCUCAACAAAAGGAUUUGAUAUUAAAGAAGGAUUGAAUUGCAUAUAAUGCCUAAAGAAUAUUCCACACCCUUAAACAUUAAAAGCAAACACAUUCUAAGAACAGAGACUUAAAAUGUUGGAAAACUAGCAGUAAUUGAAAUCUAAAAUCAUAACAACCAUCCCAGGUGGUACUGUGGUAGCAACAAUUCUCACUACAUGACUGCAUUGUAGCAUAAUACUAGGGUUUUUCCAAAGAUAAGAAACCUUCAGUCCAAAAUAUAUUCACCUUUUAUUUUCACACAACACAACAGUACUAAAUCUACUAAUCAAAUAAAGGCAUGCUUUUUUCACACUGAGCUAUUAUAAAUAGAGAUAAAAUUAAAGCCUAUGUUACAGGCUGUACUUUCUAUUUCACAUCUCCUUUUCUUGCCCCCAGAUCUUUUAUGCUCAAAGAGUUCAUCAUAACUCCACUAAUGAAUAGCAAGCUCAAUUGUAGGAAGAAAAAUAGUCAUUUCUAUGAAGGAACCAACUACUACUUGUCGCCUAAACUGGCUUAUGUGAGCCAAUCCCCGAUGAUUUACUGCUGUUUUCUACAGAUUACAUGCAAUUGUUAUUCUUCUUUUUAGGGACAAUCUAUCAGAAGAUUGUACUAUAGUCUUCUAAAGCUUUAUCUAAACCAGUCUAUCCAUUUGUUUCUUAUAACUAGGCCUUAAAGAAAUUUCACCUAGGAAAUACUUGUACAUUUUUGGCAAAUAAUUUCUUUUAACACAAAAAAAAAAAAAAACUCAUGCAGGGAAGGGUAAUAAAGUAUAAAAACCCAGAAACAAAGAUGAACAACAAUGAAAGAUAAUGUUCCUGCUGGUAAAAGUUAAACUUCGAUAAGGUCUCUUCAAAAUGUCAAUUACUUUUGGGUCAAGCUACCAAAUUUCUCAAAGCAAUAUUAGGUGUUAAUGUUACAUUAUUUCCAUAUUUAUGGGAUUUUGGAUAGCAAUGCAUAGUUAUCAGGACAAAGAGUUCGUACGUUAAAAAGAAAGUUAAAGGGGACAAUCACUUCUAAAUGGAUUAAGUGUAUUAAUCACUUGUCAAUAUAGCCCUUUAUACAGUUUUUUUCCAGUUCUUUUGGAACUUUCCGAUGUCCCUACUUACAUAUACUUAAAGAAACACAGAAAAGAAGAAAAAAGGCGCUUGGAUCUGUACCCAUGGUUCUUUCUGCUCCAAUACUCAUUUAUUAGCAUAUGAAAAAAGAAGAUACAGUCUGCUGUAUGCCCUGAGGAAAAAAUAAAGGAAAGGAAGAUAUAUUACCUAUGACAUGGUCCUCCGCAUGAACGAACAGCCACUUGCUCCCUUUCGUCCAAACUAUUGUAAUAUAUGCACUUAAGAGCAUGAACCAUGGCACCGCAGUGGCAUGCACGCUUUAUUAGUGAAUGACACGGAGGGCAUUCUCCAGGAUGACACACCAAAGGGCAAGGAUGUGGACAAGGAGGGCUUCUCUCCUGAACGGUUCACAAGUAAAAGAUAGACAUACUUGAUACUAAAAUUAUUUGAAAAUACUGAAUUAUGAAUCUGUAAAUGCAAUAUUCAAAAUGUGAGGGAUCUUGUAGAAAGUUAGUUGCAAUAGCAACUAGUUAAGUUUUGGUGGUGAUCAAAAAGCUGAGAGCAACGAUUGAAAGUCUUACCUUUUGGCAAGGAAGAUUACACUCUUCACAUGAUUCAGCCAGUACAGAACUAUAUGAUUUCGAAUCGCUCUUCAAGGCAUGGCAUAUCUUUGUACAGUAAUGGUUGCCACAGGAAAGAAGAGUGCCACAUAAGUUGUCGCAUGAAAACUCUGCUGGAUUUGAGCAGAUCAUCUAAAAGGUGGAAGACAAAGAUGGUCAAGACUUUUCAAGAAAAGCAGACACGUGACACAACAAAGAGGUAAGAACAAGGAAUGCCCCACUUCUCCUUCCCAUCCACAAACACGCGCACACACACACUUGAAGGAGAUAGAAAAUAAAAAAUUCAAGUAUAUAUAAGUUCUGUGCGAACCAUCCUCUCUGCUCCUAUGUGAUUGCCAACACAUGAUCUCCACACCAGUUCAGGACAAGGAGGGCACAAUGUACCAGGAAUAUGUUCAGCCUCAUGACUUGACUUCUUUUUCUUUGGUUUCAAUGUAAACUCUGGAAGGGCAGGAGGUCUAGGGCCAUGGCACCUUUAAAAAGCACUACCAUCAAUAAUGCAUUGUAGUUUGAGAAAAGUGUGACUAGAAAAAGAGGUAUAACAAACUUCAGUAGAAUUGAAACCUUAAUUUGCACUUGUGCCCACAUGAGUAUUCUUCAUCACAGAUCAGACGACAAGGAGGGCAAGCUCCAUAAUGACACUUGUGUGGCUGAAUAAAUGUCGAAAGGAUUAGAAAUCAAAACUAGGCCGAAGAUAAUAACCUAGUAACACACACACACACUCAACAAUUUCACAAAAGUAGUACAAAAGCUUUGACUUCAGAAGAAAUGAACAAAAUACACAAGAUAAAUGGAAAGGAAGUUUCUACAAUGGUUCCAUAUCAAAUAUCAGUACAGUGAAUAAUUACAAACCUUGCAAAUUAACCUGUGGGUGCACAAUGGAGCUACACGACAUCGUUUGGGACAUUUAGGAGGCUUUUGCUCGGUCUCUGUGCCACAUGGAACCUAAGUAUGAAAUUCAAAGAAAGUUGUUAAUCAAUGUAAAGCAACAGAUUUAACAGUACAAGUAAUGCUCAUAAUUCUGCAUCAAUUGCAGAAGUUAAUCAAAAUGAGAUGUUACAAGUAAAAGAUGUUCAUAUUCAAAUCUACUUGCUUCACAACAAUAUACUGUACUUUCAAAAUGUUUCCCAACCAAAAAAUUAUAGUAUUACUACUUGAGAAAGAAAAAGUUUUAACUUUUCUCCCAUUUUUGUGCCUUAGCAAGCACCACAUCCGGAACGCUCCCAAUCCACAAACAUGAAACAUAAUGUACAUCGUAUAGGCAAAAAAGAGAUUGCACUGCUUUGUUAUAUGUUGUGACAUUUUCGGCAAUAAACAUUGCUUGUAAAGUUUCAUAUUAAUUGCAGAGGGGAAAAAGUGCUCACCUCAAAAUGUGUUUCCCCACAUGAACAUGAAAUCAUCACCAUCAGUGGACAAGGAGAACAGGCACCUCUAAAGAAGCAAAAUAAAAAUCAUUGAUAAUUUGUAACAUUAGUCUGGGCCAACAGAAGACCUAAUUUAUUUGAUUAGCUUCAUAAUUCUGGAAUUCACAAGUAAUUAUGUGGCACAACUACAGGCUUAACAUCCACAACUCGUUAAUUCUUUUAAAGGCAUUUUGUGCAAUAUACUGUACUCAAUAUUCGUUUCCAGGCUAAGCCAAAUUAAACUGUUUCAGUUGAGUACAAAAUUAUCAUUUGCAACCAAAUGUUGCAUAAUAUGAUGGUCCUUCAAACAUCCUAACCUUUUUAAGAGAAAAGGACAAUCUUCUCUUGAGAAAGCAAUUUUAAUGAUUCCUCAAAAUAUACAAGUGAACAAGUCUUUAUACUAAAUGUUACAAGAAAUUAAAAUGUGUAAUUGCUAAAAAAUAUAUUAUGUCUCCUUAAUCUUUGAUAAAAUGAAAAACCAGUCAGCAGAUGUAAGUAGGAUUCUACAUGGAAGCAAACGAAGUACAGAGUUAUGGUAAGUUUCACAUCACACAAUUCACCAAGAAGUGAGAUUUCAAGCAACGACUACAAUCUAAAGGAUCACAAGAUACCUAUGGCACGGAGCAGGGCAUUUGUGAUUCCUACAUCGAAGCCUCCUGUCACAAAUCUGCUACACCACUGGUCACACAUUUGCUGACAAUUAACUUCAAGAGACAGACUAAUACAGAAACUUUACACAAACCUCAGAACAAGGUGGGCAGUCCCCAUCACAACAGCGACGCUUGCAAGCAUGACGCCCACAAUCCCGCACUUUCUGGCACUUCCUUUCACAUGUUAAAUCUUGAUAACAAGGAAUCUGCUCUAAAAUCAAUUUACCAAUCUCAAUCCCAACUUCGUUGAUAAAAGAAUUUAUCUCAUUUUACCAAUCACUUUAAGAAUUACCUGUUUCCUUGCGCUUCCACACCUGCAGGACUUGGUUACAACUGUCCUGCAAGUCUCAAUGCAAGGCCCGCGAUGACAUCUUUCUGGGCACCUAUGGAAUCCACAGCUCAACAGCUUAUCACAAGUUGCUCCACAGAGAGGCACAGCAACAUCACAAGCCAUCCCUUCAUACACUCUCUUUCCACAAGGACAAGUCCUCUUCCCCUGGAGUGGACACUCACCACAAUUACCUUUAUGACACCCUCUCUCACAAACAUGCCUCCCACAGCCAAGCAACUUCUGGCAUGGAUUUUCACACCUAAAAAUCCUCUCACAACACUCUCUUUCCAGCUCCACCUUCCCGCAUUGGCACUUAUAAACCCCUUUUUUGCGACACAUCGGACAGUCACCAUCAUGGCAAAUUUCACCACACCUAUGGCUUCCACAAGCUAAUGUCUUUCUACAAACGCCUUUACAAGAAAAAUCCUUAAACCCGCAACGUCUCACGUCCUCUGUAGCCCCACAAUAACACUUGGUUUUAACCAAUUUCGGGCACGAGGGGCAGGGCCCUGGGUGACACAACAACAAGCAUUCGUGCCCACAAUUGUAUGUCAACGGCCUACCACAGAUUUCUCCACAAGAAUGAGGUAAAAUCCAGGGAUCAUGAGGUGGGUUUUCGAGUUUUCCACAAAAACAAUAGUAAUACUUGGGGGUCUGCGAUUUGGGAUACUCGAUCCGGCAUUUGGGGCAAUGCCAGCGGAGGGUGUCAUCGUUAAGAGUGGCGGCGCGUGAGGCAGCCCGUGCAGCUGCAAGAUUUGAGGAUUGGUGGGCCCAGGAUUGGAUACAGAGGAGGUGGAAGACUGCGAAGCAGCGGGAGGAGCAGGACCAGGUGGGAUCGGUGGGUUUGAUCCGUUCAAGGCAUAUGAGGCAUGAGAGAGCCCCAGAGCGAGAGGAAGUAAGGAACGAUUGGAUCUUUAUCAGGUCUUGAUGUUGAGGGGAGGAUUGGUGACCGGUGAGUUCGAGGUAGGAUUUGAAGAUGGUGGAGGAGAGGUCAGUGUGUUGGUGCUGGCGGGAACUGGUGCCGGAGUCGGAAUCUGAGUCGGAGGACGGUGGAGAAAGUGGCGGUAGGAGGGUGGUGUUGGAGGUCGCCAUUACGGGACUUCCUGCGGAAAUGAGGGUUUGGGAUGAAAUUUGCCUGUUUGCUUGUUGAAAUUGGGGCGCGGAGUUUUCUAACCGUCACUUCCGCGCGGCACAUUUCCCUGCAAUGGCCAAUUUGUGACGCGCGUCACCCUGCAUUUCGUUCCCUCUUUUCCUGGUGCUAACUUCUUCUGCAUAUUAUAGCGGGGCAAUUUCUAUACUGUAACUUGGCUCUUCUUCUUCUUCUCCUUCUUCUUCUUUUUUAUUUUAUUUUGGUCUCGACAAAAUCCCUUCAAUGUUGCUUUUGGGUGAUAAAUGGAAAGCUUAAAUAUAACUGAAACUGUCCAUUAGAAAACGAGGAAACAGACCCCUCCUCCACUUUGAUGAAUUCCCGUCAGGUUAUGGUACAAGUAGUUUUUAGUGCAUUAUAUAGCGAACACUUGGUUCGUUGGUUGGCAUAUUUCUUUUCUCCCAUCUUGCUUUUCCUCUUUAAGACCAGACGGCUAGACGCUAGACAGACCUGGUAAGAUACCAGGCGAUAAAGGUUAGGAACCUGGUGAUAAAGCGAAUCCCAGAAAGGAUUUUGCUGUUCAGAACCAUGAUCGACUUAGUGGCCUUGCAGUGUUACGUUACAGCUUCAAGGACCUUCUUAGAAAGCCUGUUCUACAAGCUUUUGUAAAUCCAAAGUAGAAAACCACUAAAGCAUGAGUUUUUAAAGUGUUUCUUCUCCAGAAUGAGUAAAUAUCCCAACCGAUUUAUGAUGGAUUUUAAUUCAUUUGACAACAGAAAAAGUAAAUAAGAAUCCAUAAAAGCUGUAGGGCGAAGCAAGGCAACACAUAAAACUGUUUUGCAUUAUCAACUGAUCAAUUUAAGCAAAGUCUGCGUACUAUUUACAAUUUGACAUCUGCACCAUAGGAAGAGCGUAGAAGAAAUGAUGGAACGAGCAAGACUGCUAUAUAUUGUUGGCUUUGGUUCUGGGCUUUGACAAUAUACAGAUACACAUAACCAGGCAUUGUUUACACAAUCUUUUAUUGCAUUGCACAAAACCAAUGGAAUAGGGAAAAGAUCUUAUAAUUUACACAGAUGGGUAUAUACCAAGGAGGCGAGGACUGAGGAGCAAAAGCCAGAGACUUGCCAUUGCAUCAGAUGAACUGAAAUCGCAUCAGAAGCUUUACCGACCUGUAUGGCUCCCCUUUUUGAUUAUGAAGAGGAACAGCUCGGAUGCCUUCUCUUAGUUCUGAAGCAGGCAAGCAUGUUUGUCCUCCAAAGUCAUCCUUAUCAGACAUAUCAUACUCAUGAACUUCAAUCCGAAGCAGAGCCAAUUCAGGAACUGUUAGUGGGAAUUCAAAGUGUUCAUUCCAAUUAGGUAUCCAAUUGUCCUCCAGCGUCCUUGUUUUCUUCAUCAGAGUAUCAGCAGGAACUCCAGCAAUCCCUACCUGCAUGGAGAUAUAUUUCAACCUACUCAGACAUCAAUAACGCAAUCCACAAGAGUAAAUAUGUAACAGAAGGUUGUUCACAAAUAAAGCAAAUAGUUCUCAUUAUUCUCGUAUGCUCUUGAGCACCUUUACCAUUUUUCUUCUCUUUGAACAAUCUACUAUACUCUUAGGCCUUGUGCUCAAGAAAUAUGGCAAUAUAAAUAUCUUUUGCAUUAAAAAUCUAGUGAAGAAAUUAACUAAUCAAUAGCUACUACUACUAAAAAAAAGACUACAAAGAAGAAGGCUAUUGCUACAACACAACUGUUCAGCUGAGAGCUGAAACCUAAAUGCCUUUUUAAUCAAACAACAGUUGUUGAAACAGUUAAAAGUUGGCAAUGAACUAAGUUUACCAGAACAUGGAGAUAUAUACUCAGUCCUUACUUACCCUUGCGUAGAAAUCAGGAGGGGAGUAAGUGUCAAAGUGUGUAUGACGGAAAUCAUAAUACCAUCCCUCACCCAUGAAUACUGUCACCUGCCCAAUAGCAAGGGAUCAGGGUUGAAUGCGAAUCAAUAAGUUUAGUCAGGUUACAGUUUCAAUGGGAAUUCAUGCACAAGAACACUCUGAUAGGAACAUUACGACUCCCUUUCUUUUUUUAUAAUUGACGUUUAAGAAAUUUGCUCUAGUGUACUUUUAUCUAUCGUUUUAUUAUCCCCAUACAAUAUUAAUUAUUUUUUCACAAUUUUACCCUUUUAUCUCUCUUUUUCAAUACAGGGUUCUUAAUUACUACUCCUAGUAAUUAUUGCUUCUCUCUUUGUAACAACCCUAGUAAUUGGACAAUUAAUGAGGGUACAAAAGGAAAGUAGUGUACAGAUUUAAGCAAUGAAAAACUUUUCUUAAUUGGUGUGCAAAACCUUAAACGUCAGUUAUAAAAAAAGGGAGGGAGUAUAUUUUGGGAACACGAGAAGAUAUUUGCCUAUUUAUGCAAUUACAUUACAGAUUAGAAAAUUUAUUUUAUUUUUCUUGAAAAUUUGUCAGACAGCUUAUACUGAUGUAAAACUCAUCUCACCUUCAGUGUAGUUUUAACUGGUAAUUUGGCUUUAGGGUCAAAAAUCUCAUUACCAGUCUUCAAUAAGAUAUCUGGUUUUCUAACAUAUCCACAGCCACCAUUGGCCCUGAACAUUCCACGCAUCACCCAGAGUGAUCUUCCAUAACCCUGUUGAAGAAAAUUGUCACUGAAAAUUUCCUUGAAAUAGACUUUGGCCUAAUUACUAUAAAUUAAAAUGAAAGGUGCCAAUAAAUUUACAUUGUAAUAUGCCAACAUCGAAGAACAAUAUGACAAUCAAGAUAAAAUGAUAACCUGCAUGUUUAGUGCGACCAUCUGUGCCCCAUGCAUCCAUCCAAUGAGGGGAUUGUAAUUAGAUGAGUCAAAACGUAUUCCCUUUGGGUAUACUCUCAACAAGUUCCUCUGAGUAAAACUGAAAGAGGAAUAUAGAAAAGCCUGGACAGCUUAUUAAUUGGAAAUGAUUACUUAAUUCAAGCGCAAGGUCAAGAAUUGAAGCCUAAAGAGAGGUAUUAUGGAUUAUGUUGUCGAUUGGAGCAUCAAUGCAGCAAGAUUCAAGGAUGAAACAGUACAUUUUACAGGGCCUAGAUGAUCGAACUACAUACCAUGACUAUAAAACCCCAUUAAUGAAGGCAAAAUAAGCUGAAUACAUGUGUAUCUGAGUAUCCAGCAAGAACAAUUGUUCUAACUAUGACGAUCUAUAGUAAUCAGGAUGACAUCUCUCAGGAUUACUUUUAUACCAUUUACAAUGCAGGGAAACCCCUAGAGAAGUCAAGCAAAAGCUACUGCACGAAGUAUGCACUGGUUGUAUGUUGUAGACAAAGUAACAUGAUCAACAUAGUACCUUAUAAUUUCUUUUGCAUGAGUUACAGCAGCCUUCUCAAGUUCUAGCUCACUUAAACUAAGGCGUCUCACUUUGUUAGGAUCGAGCCUCAGCCAAUCAUCCAGUCCACCCUUUCCCUUUCCAGCAUGGAUUGCAAUCAAACGUUUAUAUUCUGGGACUGCAAUUUGCUGAGACUUGCGAUCUACUUCAUCAUCGUCAUCGUCCUCAUGAGCUUCCUCUUCAUUGAGAUCAUCCUGCAACAAACAGCUUAUGUAGAAAAGUUUAAAUUGAAAACAACGCACGAAGCUGUAACUCAAAUUGUGAUUAUCAGUUAAGUAAUUGGAAUGUUCAGUCAGACCUCAUCAUUGGUCCUAGAUUUAUUAAUUGAGAUUUCUCUUCCCCAAGGUUCUGCUUCAGCUGAUUGUUUUCCUUCCUUCACUUCAUUCUGUUCUCCACUAAGGUCUUUUGCCUCUAAGUACUCCUUAGGUGGUUUAGUUGAUAUCAUAACCUUUCUUUUCAAGGAUUCUGGCGAGGGAAACUCUCUUAGACCGUCUGAUCCAGGUACGAACAGCAUAUCUCCAAAUGUUUCAUUAAUCAUCUAAGAUUUUUUAGACAUUGCAAAUGUUAGCAGUAGAGCAAUGAAAGUACUAGUUACUCUCUGUCCAAAGUGCAAUUUUACACACCUCAGCUACUUUAGCUUGAAGAUGCCGAGGAAGAUGGUCUUCAAGUGUGAUAACAACAGGAUACUCGGAUGCAGAGAAUGCAUGCUCUUUAAUAGACCUCAAGCAUUUGAUGAGUUGCACAGGAGUUGUCAGCGUCCUGUAUAAGAAAGUAGAUAUCUUGGCUAAUUACAACUUCAUUUCCAACUUGGAACCAAUUAAUGUCCGACUCAAAAAGAAUCCAUACACAAAUUGAGUUAAUUUCUUCGAUGAAGAUCAGUACCUUCCAUGCAGGACAUCAACAUCAUCUUUUGUGGAAUUAGGCCAUAUAUCCAAUUCGAUUACUCUCACACCAUUCUGGAGUGCAUUUAUUAUAGGGACAUCGCUGCAGUCACUACUUAGCUGAUUCCCAGUCAAAUAAGAAUUAUGCCCGGUAUAUAUAUAGUAAUGAGACAAUGGAUCAUGCAUAUCAUGAUGAACCUGUUUUGUUUGAAACAAAAAACCCACCUCAUAAUCAUUUAAAAAAAAAAUCAACUCUGAUGCUUAGAAAUUGAUAUAAAUGGAGAAGAAAUGGAAUUACCCCGCGACGAGGAUCAAUAGGAGGAUUAAUAUCUCCAAAAAGAUACUUGAAAAAUUGCUCAAGAUUAAGACCGCUGCGAUGGAAAAUGUUGAGGUGUUUAGGCUCAUGAAGGCUAUUUAUGAUGGCUCCAGCAUCCUCCACCGUGGCAUUCUCUUGCUUUUGAACUUCAACCAAGAAACGAUGGAGGUUAUCAACGCUUAUGGUCCCGUUUUCGGAGUAGCGGUCGAAUAUGGACUUGAUUUCAGCCGGGGCCUCUGCAGAAGCCAGCUUGAACCUUCGCCGGCAACAAAAGCAUACUCUGUAGGUCUGUUUAGACAUGCGAUUGGAUUUUGGAUUUACGUCAACUAAAAGUGAAAGAAGAGAAGAGGAGUAGAGUUGAUUAUGGAUGUUGAGGAUUGAGGAUCUUAGGUGUUUUUUUUUAUCAAGGAUGGGAUUUGAGGAUAGCUUUGCUUGUGAAGAUGGGAAGGCAUUUCCGGAGAUUGGACCGGGCAAAGUUCACUGUCGAACUCGGAACCAAAUCCAACCAACCGAACUUUUUCCUACAGGGAAAAAAAAAAAAAGAAAAGAAAAGAAAAAGAUAACGAUUCUGGUUUGGGAAACCUUUCAAUCGUUGGAUUUUGUUUGUGGAUAAAGGUCGGGUUCUGGUAAGGUUGCAAUAUCCUGCAAUUCUGGAACGUCCCCAACCUUUACGCUUUACUUCUUAUUGGUCCAGCUCUGGUGGUGAGCUGUGAGGUCAUUGUUGAUUGUUUCUCCUUUUUGUCUCCAUGCAUACAGCUGGUUGCCCCGCUGGGCCGGCCACCAUUGGAUCAAAGAAAAUUGUGUCUAAUUCAGUCAAUCAAUCAAUGAGGCCCUCCACCUCAUUAUCGAGUGGAGGAGUGUCACCAAUGAACAACCCCAAUUAAAUCCCAUUACUUGCAAAGAUAAUCACAUUUCAUUUCACGUAUUUUUUUGUCAUCUAAGGAGUAAUAAUUAAAGAGUAAAUUUCAUAUGCACUAUAAGUAUACACACUAUCACGAAUAAAUGGAUGACACGUAAUCAAAUUUUACACAUGUAUUAUAUAUUUAAUAGUGAUAGUGUAUAUAAGAUUAAUUCAUGAUUAAAUCCCAUUACUUACAAAGAAUAUCAUAUUCACGUACCCCUUUUGUCAUCUAAAGAGUAAUAAUUAAACAUUAAAGAGCCUUUUUUUGGGAUAAUUUCAGAAACCGUCCCUAAUAUUUUUGACAAUUUCACUAAGCACCUCUAAGGUUUAGAAAAAGAAACUUAUUCAUCUCUAAGAUGUUUUGCUUGCAGGGAAUUGUCUCUAAUUAGUUGUUGCAAGAUACGAUAUUUGCGCAGUGAAGAAAUCUUCUGACUAUUUUGGCCUUUCAAUUAUGUUUAAAUUGUCUGCUCACUUCUCCUCUUUUUUUUUUAACUUAAAAUGCAACAAAAAAUUAAACUGACAAUAAGAUGAUAGAUAGUUAAAUGAAAAAAAAAAGGGGACAAUUUUCAUUCUUUGACUCUUUGAAUUAGAUAUGAAGCAGGAUAAAUUUGUGCCUCAACAGGAUGAUAUAAAUUUGUGGCGAACUGGUUAUAAAGUUACAACUCACUGAAAUUCGCAGAGAAUCCGGUUCCCUGGCAUUGCCACCCCACCAAUCAGAGAGCAAUGCCCUUUGUGUUUCGCUGAUGUCUACAAGAAAAUGUUUACUUGAACCAUUUUUUUUUCAAAAAAAAAAAAAGAAGUUGUAUCUUGUUACUGCAAUUGCAGCACUCCUCUGUACAAACGAUCUGGUCGCGCAAAUCCAACUCUACUACAACAUUAAGGAUGGAAAAGAAGCGCGUCGCGGGCGGGCUUGAAGGAUGCAGUAGGGUUCAUAUAAACUGGAACCGCAUCAGAAGCCUUACAGAUCUAAGUUUCUCUCCUUUCUUAUCGUAAAUUGGAACUGCUCGGAUCCCCGGUCUCAACUCCGAAACAGGCAAGCAUGUCUGUCCCCCAAAAUCAUCCUUCUCCGACAUGUCAUGCUCACGGAUUUCAAUCCGAAGCAAAGCUAACUCAGGAACUGUCAAUGGGAAUGUGAAAUCCUCAUCCCAUAUCGGUCCCCAGUCAUCCUCUAUUAUCCUCGUCUUUUUCUUGGCCUCAUCUGCAGGCACUCCUACCAUCUGAACCUGCAGUUCAUGAGGAAAUUAUCUUAGGCUCAACCUAUUGAACAAGAUUUAAUAUGUUAAGGAGGAAACAAAACAGAAGAAAUAGAUGAACGCGUCAACAGAAGCAGCAGAUUGCAACAAUAUAUCAGUUCAGCCACUCAUUACAUGGGUAUAAGCUCGCCAGAAGUUCCAUUUUCGAACGUCUUAAAAGUUACCAUCGCAUCAAAACAGGAAAUAUCAUAUCAUAUCUAUCAGGAUAACACUUUUAAACCAAUUUUAGUCGCUGACCUUUGUGUAGAAGUCUGGCGGUGAAUAUGAAUCAAAAUGUGUGUGACUGAAAUCUAAUCGCCAUCCAUCUCCCAAAUACACGCUUACCUGUGGAAAAAAUGAUUAAGCUGUAAUUAAUAUAAGUCAUCGGGCGGUUGGAGUUUGCAAUAGCCACUGUCAGAAAGGUGCUCACCUUUAAAGUUUUCUUAACUGGCAAUUUUACUUUAGGAUCAAAUAGCUCAUUCCGCGGUCCCCUUUUCAUGAGAAAGUCAGGCUUCUUAACGUAACCGCAACCUCCAUUAGAUCCGAACAACCCAUGCAUCAACCAAAGUGAUUUUCCAUACCCCUGUUUGUUUGGGUUAAGAAAGAAAAUGAUUUCACUAAAUCCGUUGGUGAAAAGAAUCCUCAACUAAGAUGAAUACAUGCCGACACAAAUGUGGUAAUCAUAAUCAAAUUAUGAAAGUCGAUUGCUUGCUUGUGUACUGUUUCUGUGAUGCAUGUUACCAUUGAUGCAACAGAAGUCAUUGAUGGUUUAUCCCUCGCACAAACUGCUUGUCCAUGCUGACAUGUGAGCAUGGAGCAGUGUAUAGAUGCUGUAUUAGCAGAUUUGCAUGACAUUCUACUUGGAUCACUAUUUACGACAAAGACAAUAAGGAUUUCUGGAAAUGCCAGAGAAGUUAAUUCAAUAAAACUUUUAAUGUAAUUAAACUGCCGGGAAGUGUUAUGUUUAAGAUAAGGACAGUGAAUGAGUGCAUGACCAAGCUCGGAUUGCCAUUCCAGGAGUUUAGGAACACAAGAUUUGAAAACUGACCUGCAUAUUGAAUGCAAGCAUUUGAGCUCCAUGCGUCCAGCCAACUAAAGGGUGAAAAUUGGACGAGGUUACUCUUGUUCCCUUUGGAAACACCCUCAGAAUAUUCUUCUGUGUAAACCUAGAAUUCAAAACUGAAUUCAGCUAAAACAAAAUGUUGGUAGAAGACCAGAUGGGACAGCUAUUGUGAACGUCAAAAGCAAUCUAGCAAUCUUCAACUUUUACUUCAAGUGAAUACCUCACAACAUCAGUUCCAUAUAAAGAUGCAGCCCUUUCAAGGUCUUGUUCAGUCAAACUAAGACGCUUAACUUUGUCCAGCCCAGUUACUAAUGCGUGCCUCAACCCCUGUUUUGCCUUCCCAGCAUGAAUAGCAAUGAGACGCUUGUACUCCGGUGCUGCUAGUUGGGAUGAUUUUUGGUUUUGGAUGUCUCCAUCUUCAUCAUCUGGAUCACUAUCGUACUGAAAUCAUAAACCAAUAAACAUUGCAGAUGAAAUUUUGAGUAAUAUUCAACGGAUGACAAGAAAGAUUCUAUGAAAUGUACCUUUGGGUCGCCCUCCAACGUAUCCUUCAUAAAAAAAUCAUCUUCAGAAGAAUCCUUUUCCGCAGGUGAAGAAGUUCCUUCUUUCUGAUUCUUUAUUUCAAGGUACUCUUUUGGUGGUUUGGUUGAAAGAAUUAUUCGAUGCUUCAAUGCUUCCGGAGAGGGAAAUUCUUCUAAGCAUCCCGACUCCGGGUAAUACAGCAUUUCUCCAAAAAUUUGAAUUACCAUCUAGAAGCAGAUAGGUUAUAUCAGUUGCAAUGUUGAUGUUUUCUCAGUCUUAAAAAAAAAGGAAGAACAAAUAGCGAGAAACUCCAACCUCUGCAACUUUAGCCUGAAGGUCCGGAGUGAGGUGAUCCUCCAAAGUAAUUAUUACAGGGUAGGGAGAUUUGACAAAAGCAUGCUCCCUAAUAGACUUCAAGCAUUUAAUGAGUGGCACUGGAGUGGUCAGCGUCCUGAAAAUGAUCAACAAGGUUAAAUUUUCUUACAUUGCCAUUUCCGGUAAGAGAAAAUUUAGAAGUGUCCCUAAAAAUAGACGCAGCAAAAUUGAAAUGUGAAUAUAUAUCAGACAAAUAGUUUCUGGCACAGAUUUCUAAAUGUGGACAACUAGAGCAAAGCAAAUGAUAGAGAAACCCAUGCUGGUUAUUUUGGGAACACGAGAAGAUAUUUGCCUAUUUAUGCAAUUACAUUACAGAUUAGAAAAUUUAUUUUAUUUUUCUUGAAAAUUUGUCAGACAGCUUAUACUGAUGUAAAACUCAUCUCACCUUCAGUGUAGUUUUAACUGGUAAUUUGGCUUUAGGGUCAAAAAUCUCAUUACCAGUCUUCAAUAAGAUAUCUGGUUUUCUAACAUAUCCACAGCCACCAUUGGCCCUGAACAUUCCACGCAUCACCCAGAGUGAUCUUCCAUAACCCUGUUGAAGAAAAUUGUCACUGAAAAUUUCCUUGAAAUAGACUUUGGCCUAAUUACUAUAAAUUAAAAUGAAAGGUGCCAAUAAAUUUACAUUGUAAUAUGCCAACAUCGAAGAACAAUAUGACAAUCAAGAUAAAAUGAUAACCUGCAUGUUUAGUGCGACCAUCUGUGCCCCAUGCAUCCAUCCAAUGAGGGGAUUGUAAUUAGAUGAGUCAAAACGUAUUCCCUUUGGGUAUACUCUCAACAAGUUCCUCUGAGUAAAACUGAAAGAGGAAUAUAGAAAAGCCUGGACAGCUUAUUAAUUGGAAAUGAUUACUUAAUUCAAGCGCAAGGUCAAGAAUUGAAGCCUAAAGAGAGGUAUUAUGGAUUAUGUUGUCGAUUGGAGCAUCAAUGCAGCAAGAUUCAAGGAUGAAACAGUACAUUUUACAGGGCCUAGAUGAUCGAACUACAUACCAUGACUAUAAAACCCCAUUAAUGAAGGCAAAAUAAGCUGAAUACAUGUGUAUCUGAGUAUCCAGCAAGAACAAUUGUUCUAACUAUGACGAUCUAUAGUAAUCAGGAUGACAUCUCUCAGGAUUACUUUUAUACCAUUUACAAUGCAGGGAAACCCCUAGAGAAGUCAAGCAAAAGCUACUGCACGAAGUAUGCACUGGUUGUAUGUUGUAGACAAAGUAACAUGAUCAACAUAGUACCUUAUAAUUUCUUUUGCAUGAGUUACAGCAGCCUUCUCAAGUUCUAGCUCACUUAAACUAAGGCGUCUCACUUUGUUAGGAUCGAGCCUCAGCCAAUCAUCCAGUCCACCCUUUCCCUUUCCAGCAUGGAUUGCAAUCAAACGUUUAUAUUCUGGGACUGCAAUUUGCUGAGACUUGCGAUCUACUUCAUCAUCGUCAUCGUCCUCAUGAGCUUCCUCUUCAUUGAGAUCAUCCUGCAACAAACAGCUUAUGUAGAAAAGUUUAAAUUGAAAACAACGCACGAAGCUGUAACUCAAAUUGUGAUUAUCAGUUAAGUAAUUGGAAUGUUCAGUCAGACCUCAUCAUUGGUCCUAGAUUUAUUAAUUGAGAUUUCUCUUCCCCAAGGUUCUGCUUCAGCUGAUUGUUUUCCUUCCUUCACUUCAUUCUGUUCUCCACUAAGGUCUUUUGCCUCUAAGUACUCCUUAGGUGGUUUAGUUGAUAUCAUAACCUUUCUUUUCAAGGAUUCUGGCGAGGGAAACUCUCUUAGACCGUCUGAUCCAGGUACGAACAGCAUAUCUCCAAAUGUUUCAUUAAUCAUCUAAGAUUUUUUAGACAUUGCAAAUGUUAGCAGUAGAGCAAUGAAAGUACUAGUUACUCUCUGUCCAAAGUGCAAUUUUACACACCUCAGCUACUUUAGCUUGAAGAUGCCGAGGAAGAUGGUCUUCAAGUGUGAUAACAACAGGAUACUCGGAUGCAGAGAAUGCAUGCUCUUUAAUAGACCUCAAGCAUUUGAUGAGUUGCACAGGAGUUGUCAGCGUCCUGUAUAAGAAAGUAGAUAUCUUGGCUAAUUACAACUUCAUUUCCAACUUGGAACCAAUUAAUGUCCGACUCAAAAAGAAUCCAUACACAAAUUGAGUUAAUUUCUUCGAUGAAGAUCAGUACCUUCCAUGCAGGACAUCAACAUCAUCUUUUGUGGAAUUAGGCCAUAUAUCCAAUUCGAUUACUCUCACACCAUUCUGGAGUGCAUUUAUUAUAGGGACAUCGCUGCAGUCACUACUUAGCUGAUUCCCAGUCAAAUAAGAAUUAUGCCCGGUAUAUAUAUAGUAAUGAGACAAUGGAUCAUGCAUAUCAUGAUGAACCUGUUUUGUUUGAAACAAAAAACCCACCUCAUAAUCAUUUAAAAAAAAAAUCAACUCUGAUGCUUAGAAAUUGAUAUAAAUGGAGAAGAAAUGGAAUUACCCCGCGACGAGGAUCAAUAGGAGGAUUAAUAUCUCCAAAAAGAUACUUGAAAAAUUGCUCAAGAUUAAGACCGCUGCGAUGGAAAAUGUUGAGGUGUUUAGGCUCAUGAAGGCUAUUUAUGAUGGCUCCAGCAUCCUCCACCGUGGCAUUCUCUUGCUUUUGAACUUCAACCAAGAAACGAUGGAGGUUAUCAACGCUUAUGGUCCCGUUUUCGGAGUAGCGGUCGAAUAUGGACUUGAUUUCAGCCGGGGCCUCUGCAGAAGCCAGCUUGAACCUUCGCCGGCAACAAAAGCAUACUCUGUAGGUCUGUUUAGACAUGCGAUUGGAUUUUGGAUUUACGUCAACUAAAAGUGAAAGAAGAGAAGAGGAGUAGAGUUGAUUAUGGAUGUUGAGGAUUGAGGAUCUUAGGUGUUUUUUUUUAUCAAGGAUGGGAUUUGAGGAUAGCUUUGCUUGUGAAGAUGGGAAGGCAUUUCCGGAGAUUGGACCGGGCAAAGUUCACUGUCGAACUCGGAACCAAAUCCAACCAACCGAACUUUUUCCUACAGGGAAAAAAAAAAAAAGAAAAGAAAAGAAAAAGAUAACGAUUCUGGUUUGGGAAACCUUUCAAUCGUUGGAUUUUGUUUGUGGAUAAAGGUCGGGUUCUGGUAAGGUUGCAAUAUCCUGCAAUUCUGGAACGUCCCCAACCUUUACGCUUUACUUCUUAUUGGUCCAGCUCUGGUGGUGAGCUGUGAGGUCAUUGUUGAUUGUUUCUCCUUUUUGUCUCCAUGCAUACAGCUGGUUGCCCCGCUGGGCCGGCCACCAUUGGAUCAAAGAAAAUUGUGUCUAAUUCAGUCAAUCAAUCAAUGAGGCCCUCCACCUCAUUAUCGAGUGGAGGAGUGUCACCAAUGAACAACCCCAAUUAAAUCCCAUUACUUGCAAAGAUAAUCACAUUUCAUUUCACGUAUUUUUUUGUCAUCUAAGGAGUAAUAAUUAAAGAGUAAAUUUCAUAUGCACUAUAAGUAUACACACUAUCACGAAUAAAUGGAUGACACGUAAUCAAAUUUUACACAUGUAUUAUAUAUUUAAUAGUGAUAGUGUAUAUAAGAUUAAUUCAUGAUUAAAUCCCAUUACUUACAAAGAAUAUCAUAUUCACGUACCCCUUUUGUCAUCUAAAGAGUAAUAAUUAAACAUUAAAGAGCCUUUUUUUGGGAUAAUUUCAGAAACCGUCCCUAAUAUUUUUGACAAUUUCACUAAGCACCUCUAAGGUUUAGAAAAUUACACAUACUCCCUUGUCAUUUAAAAUGACAAUACUACUCUUAAAUAUUUUAAUGAAAUUCUCUUGUUUGGUAUACUUAUACUUAGAAUGACUUUAAAAUUACUUUUUCAUUCUUUUUCCUUCUUAUCCUUUUUAUGUUAUUUUUUUGGCCAAUAAAAUUAUAAAAUUACCACUAUUAUCUUUAGUUUCUAUUGUAACCAAAUGUCAAACUAAUGUUUUUUUUGAUGAGUUAACUUUAUAUGUAAUCCUAUGUUUUUUGCUAAUCUUUGUUUUCUAUUUUUUGGUAUUAAAAUUAAUAAUAAAUAAAAAAGAAAUUACCCAAAAUCACUAUUAAACUAUAAUAAUCCCACUAUUCAAAAAAUUCAUAAACUAUGAAACAAUUAUUUCAAUAUUUUAUUUUCUAUCUUAUAAAUCUAAAUCCAUAGUAAAAUACCGUCAAAAGUAUCCUAUCAUAGUGAUAAAAUUAUUAUUAUUAUAGUUGUUUAUCAAAUAGUAGAUAUGGAUAUGAAAAAUUCGGCGCCUUUUCCUUAUAAUUACAUUAGAUAAUUUUAUAAUUCUAUAGGGAAGUAAAUUAAAACUCAUUACAUAAGGGCAUUUUUGGAUAUUCAUUUAAAAAUUUGACCAAGUCAAUAUUAUUUUAAGGUUUUGUUACUAAAACUAUCAAAUCAAGAGAGGUAUGUGCAAUUUUUUAAAUCUCGGGUGAGUUCAGUUUGUUUCUGAAAUUAUCCCUUUUUUUUUACUUGUAAACUUGCUCAUCUCUAUGUUUUGCUUGCAGGGAAUUGUCUCUAAUUAGUUGUUGCAAGAUACGAUAUUUGCGCAGUGAAGAAAUCUUCUGACUAUUUUGGCCUUUCAAUUAUGUUUAAAUUGUCUGCUCACUUCUCCUCUUUUUUUUUUAACUUAAAAUGCAACAAAAAAUUAAACUGACAAUAAGAUGAUAGAUAGUUAAAUGAAAAAAAAAAGGGGACAAUUUUCAUUCUUUGACUCUUUGAAUUAGAUAUGAAGCAGGAUAAAUUUGUGCCUCAACAGGAUGAUAUAAAUUUGUGGCGAACUGGUUAUAAAGUUACAACUCACUGAAAUUCGCAGAGAAUCCGGUUCCCUGGCAUUGCCACCCCACCAAUCAGAGAGCAAUGCCCUUUGUGUUUCGCUGAUGUCUACAAGAAAAUGUUUACUUGAACCAUUUUUUUUUCAAAAAAAAAAAAAGAAGUUGUAUCUUGUUACUGCAAUUGCAGCACUCCUCUGUACAAACGAUCUGGUCGCGCAAAUCCAACUCUACUACAACAUUAAGGAUGGAAAAGAAGCGCGUCGCGGGCGGGCUUGAAGGAUGCAGUAGGGUUCAUAUAAACUGGAACCGCAUCAGAAGCCUUACAGAUCUAAGUUUCUCUCCUUUCUUAUCGUAAAUUGGAACUGCUCGGAUCCCCGGUCUCAACUCCGAAACAGGCAAGCAUGUCUGUCCCCCAAAAUCAUCCUUCUCCGACAUGUCAUGCUCACGGAUUUCAAUCCGAAGCAAAGCUAACUCAGGAACUGUCAAUGGGAAUGUGAAAUCCUCAUCCCAUAUCGGUCCCCAGUCAUCCUCUAUUAUCCUCGUCUUUUUCUUGGCCUCAUCUGCAGGCACUCCUACCAUCUGAACCUGCAGUUCAUGAGGAAAUUAUCUUAGGCUCAACCUAUUGAACAAGAUUUAAUAUGUUAAGGAGGAAACAAAACAGAAGAAAUAGAUGAACGCGUCAACAGAAGCAGCAGAUUGCAACAAUAUAUCAGUUCAGCCACUCAUUACAUGGGUAUAAGCUCGCCAGAAGUUCCAUUUUCGAACGUCUUAAAAGUUACCAUCGCAUCAAAACAGGAAAUAUCAUAUCAUAUCUAUCAGGAUAACACUUUUAAACCAAUUUUAGUCGCUGACCUUUGUGUAGAAGUCUGGCGGUGAAUAUGAAUCAAAAUGUGUGUGACUGAAAUCUAAUCGCCAUCCAUCUCCCAAAUACACGCUUACCUGUGGAAAAAAUGAUUAAGCUGUAAUUAAUAUAAGUCAUCGGGCGGUUGGAGUUUGCAAUAGCCACUGUCAGAAAGGUGCUCACCUUUAAAGUUUUCUUAACUGGCAAUUUUACUUUAGGAUCAAAUAGCUCAUUCCGCGGUCCCCUUUUCAUGAGAAAGUCAGGCUUCUUAACGUAACCGCAACCUCCAUUAGAUCCGAACAACCCAUGCAUCAACCAAAGUGAUUUUCCAUACCCCUGUUUGUUUGGGUUAAGAAAGAAAAUGAUUUCACUAAAUCCGUUGGUGAAAAGAAUCCUCAACUAAGAUGAAUACAUGCCGACACAAAUGUGGUAAUCAUAAUCAAAUUAUGAAAGUCGAUUGCUUGCUUGUGUACUGUUUCUGUGAUGCAUGUUACCAUUGAUGCAACAGAAGUCAUUGAUGGUUUAUCCCUCGCACAAACUGCUUGUCCAUGCUGACAUGUGAGCAUGGAGCAGUGUAUAGAUGCUGUAUUAGCAGAUUUGCAUGACAUUCUACUUGGAUCACUAUUUACGACAAAGACAAUAAGGAUUUCUGGAAAUGCCAGAGAAGUUAAUUCAAUAAAACUUUUAAUGUAAUUAAACUGCCGGGAAGUGUUAUGUUUAAGAUAAGGACAGUGAAUGAGUGCAUGACCAAGCUCGGAUUGCCAUUCCAGGAGUUUAGGAACACAAGAUUUGAAAACUGACCUGCAUAUUGAAUGCAAGCAUUUGAGCUCCAUGCGUCCAGCCAACUAAAGGGUGAAAAUUGGACGAGGUUACUCUUGUUCCCUUUGGAAACACCCUCAGAAUAUUCUUCUGUGUAAACCUAGAAUUCAAAACUGAAUUCAGCUAAAACAAAAUGUUGGUAGAAGACCAGAUGGGACAGCUAUUGUGAACGUCAAAAGCAAUCUAGCAAUCUUCAACUUUUACUUCAAGUGAAUACCUCACAACAUCAGUUCCAUAUAAAGAUGCAGCCCUUUCAAGGUCUUGUUCAGUCAAACUAAGACGCUUAACUUUGUCCAGCCCAGUUACUAAUGCGUGCCUCAACCCCUGUUUUGCCUUCCCAGCAUGAAUAGCAAUGAGACGCUUGUACUCCGGUGCUGCUAGUUGGGAUGAUUUUUGGUUUUGGAUGUCUCCAUCUUCAUCAUCUGGAUCACUAUCGUACUGAAAUCAUAAACCAAUAAACAUUGCAGAUGAAAUUUUGAGUAAUAUUCAACGGAUGACAAGAAAGAUUCUAUGAAAUGUACCUUUGGGUCGCCCUCCAACGUAUCCUUCAUAAAAAAAUCAUCUUCAGAAGAAUCCUUUUCCGCAGGUGAAGAAGUUCCUUCUUUCUGAUUCUUUAUUUCAAGGUACUCUUUUGGUGGUUUGGUUGAAAGAAUUAUUCGAUGCUUCAAUGCUUCCGGAGAGGGAAAUUCUUCUAAGCAUCCCGACUCCGGGUAAUACAGCAUUUCUCCAAAAAUUUGAAUUACCAUCUAGAAGCAGAUAGGUUAUAUCAGUUGCAAUGUUGAUGUUUUCUCAGUCUUAAAAAAAAAGGAAGAACAAAUAGCGAGAAACUCCAACCUCUGCAACUUUAGCCUGAAGGUCCGGAGUGAGGUGAUCCUCCAAAGUAAUUAUUACAGGGUAGGGAGAUUUGACAAAAGCAUGCUCCCUAAUAGACUUCAAGCAUUUAAUGAGUGGCACUGGAGUGGUCAGCGUCCUGAAAAUGAUCAACAAGGUUAAAUUUUCUUACAUUGCCAUUUCCGGUAAGAGAAAAUUUAGAAGUGUCCCUAAAAAUAGACGCAGCAAAAUUGAAAUGUGAAUAUAUAUCAGACAAAUAGUUUCUGGCACAGAUUUCUAAAUGUGGACAACUAGAGCAAAGCAAAUGAUAGAGAAACCCAUGCUGGUCUCUUUGCAUUAAAAAUGAAGCGAUUCUACAAAGAAGAAACCAACUGGAAAUCUAAGCUCCCUCUCUUAUAGCCCUCGCUAUCAUCUCAUAUACACUGCAGAAUGAAAUUUGCUCAGCACAUUGACAUAGAUAAUAAGGAAAAGAAGCAAUGCUUUAAGAAACUAAAGAAAAGAAACAGCUUCAAGGAACUCAUUUUCUUUUUCUGUGUAGUGUCUUUUGUAUACGAUAUCCAAAGGAAAAUGACAAAAAAAAAAAAACUGAAAAUGAGUCUAGGAUCAUACCCUACCUUCCAUGAAGAACAUGCACAUUAUCUUUUGCAGAAUUGGGCCACAGAUCUAGUUCUAUUCCCCUAACACCUCUUUCUAGGGCUUUUAUGAUUGGGAUUUCACUACAGUCGCUGCUCAACUGGUUUCCAGUUAGGUAUGAAUUGUGACCUGUAUAUAUGAAAUAAUGUUGCAAUGGAGCUGUCAUAUCAUGAUGUACCUGGAAUCACAAAAUAAACAAAAUUGUAGGCAAUGUUGACAUAGAAAAUGCUUAAACUGCAGAAUUUCCACAAUAUAUAAACCAUGAUAACAUAAGCCAGCUACAGAAUGCAAAGAUGGAACCAAGCGUCCUUUUCUAGCAGGGCAUUCCGAAAUGCAUUUUACUCUUUUUGGCUACUAAAUUGGAAUGUCAGUUCCGCUAUUUUAAUACUAUCGGCCUCUCCUUAUUUCCUCUUAAAACCAUCAACCUCUUGAAAGAUUUGGGGCACGCUGACAGAAAAAAUGUUGUUGUGCCGCGAGACAUCAUUAGCUUUGCGGGAUACUCACAACUGAUGGCAAACAUAAAAUAUUAAUGGGUAGAAGAAAACAAUUUUCAACGUUCAAUCUUGUCCUGCCAUCAUCAUAAGGGUUCGGAGCAGACAACUACGAAAACAGUGCUGAAGUUUGACAUGUUAUGUCCCGUGGUAAGAGAAUCGCAACUAACAGAGUCCUCUCCAACUUUGAUCCUAUGUCUUACGGGUUAUACUUCUCUUCAAGGUAGUUUUGUUACAUGGCAGCAUUUCUCGUAGAGAUCCAUCUGCCAUCUAUCAGCAGUCAGUCUUGCAAUCAUUAGAGGUGAACUGUAACUAUCUAAUUACACCCUCUGAAACACAUAUAACAUAUUUGAUCACACUCCUUUCAAGAGUUACCUUUUAGAAAAUAUUAUUCCGCAUAAGUCAGAGUUGCAACUGUAACUCCAUUUACUUGAGUUCCAUAACUAUAGACUUUUCAUUGACCAUAGCCAACGCUCAUCCAAUCCUAGUUCCAGUUGUCAUAUAUGAAAUUUUCAUUCUUUUGUAGAUUUAUACAGUGAUUUGAGGAGAAUUGUCAAAGAUGACUCAAGCUAGUAGUCUUGACUAGCCAAGAACAUGCAGGUCUUCAACAAGAACAUGCAGGAUGAUCUUAAUGGCCCCAUUAAAGUAUAGUCACACCCUAUCCAACAACUGAAAAAGUACUUCGCAUUAAAUUAUAUCCUCAAUCAUAAUGACUUAAUUAUGCACCAAUCUAAGAAGGGAUCGUAAUUCCUACACAAACAGCAGAGAUAAUGCUUUAUACUGACAUGCUAAGAUCAUAAGUCAUAACACGUAAACCUCAUCCAAGUUUAGCUUUUUGCUUUUGUUGCAAGUCUCAUGCAUCUAAACACGUUCUUAAGAUUACGUUGUCGGUAUUUCAUCAUUUUUUUGGGGGUAGAAGGUAUUUCAUCUUAUAUUUGGCUUAAGCAUGCAUUCAUAGAAAACUGAUUCCCCUUCCCCCGCCACCCCCCUCCUCCCUCCCCCAAAAAAAAAUUAAUAAUAAAAACCCGAGAUUAGAAAAGGAAAUUAAAAUGGAAGAAGAAGACAAUGGUGUAGAGAAAAAUCUGGGAAGAUCAGGAAAUGACCUGAAUUUUAAUGGGGCCAUUAAGAUCAUCCUGGAACAAGAAAUAAAAGAAAUCUUCAAGGUCUAGUCCCCGGCGAGUAUACUUGGUCAAAUGGUGACGACGCUGGAUGACAAUGUGCAUCAGCCUCUCUGCAUCCGCCAGAGUGCAGCCUUCCUCGCCCUGGUAUUCCACCAGGAACCUGGCAAACUGGUCGGCCGUCAUGUGGGUCCCGCCCCCGGCGUACUUAUGGAAGGCACUCAUCACGUCCGGGGGUGGCUCCGUCUCGCUGAUCUUAAACUUCCGGUUAAAACAUCCAAACAUCCUGUAAUAAUUAUAACUCCCCAUUUUUUAAAAAAUUUUUUUUUUCCUGGACGACAAAAGGUUGUUGGCUUUGGAGGGGACGACUUUAUAACUCUACAAUCUACAUGUGUUUCCAAAUAUAUAGGAAUUAAGCAUUGAAGGAAACAUUGCAGAAACGUCUAUGAUCAGAUGAUGAUGAUGGUGAUGGGGUGCGAGUUGAAUGAUUCUUGGAUGGCUUUAGUUAAUGUUGUUGAAUUGGAUUGUUGUUUCCUCAACAAAUGACAGGGAAGAAGGAGAAAAAAGCAAUGAAAUUCCCAAUAAAUCCAAGGACUCCUAAAGAUUAGUAAGAGAGAGAGAGAGAAAAGGAAAGGGGAAAAAGAAGAAGAAAGAUUAAUAAAAAAAAAAAAGGAAAAACUUCGCGGAGGUUGGUCGAAGAGAGGGCUAAAUAUGAGGAGUAUUUAAAGCUGGAUCCGUUGUGGGACGCGUUCCUUACAUGAGGCUUUAGAGUUACGACGACGACGACGACGACGACUUUCUACAACUACAACUAAACAAAACAUCAAUGAUUUGCAGAUUCACCCGACUUGAUGUUUCAGAAUAUUUCAGUCGUCGCAGGUAUUUGUCCCUUUGUCAUUUUUUUCCCUAAUUUUACCGAUUGGAUGAUCUUUUCUAGUAGUCCUAAUUUUUAAUCUUCCGAUCGUUCCCGCCGUUUUCUUGCCCCCACCACCCUUCAAGAAAAACAAAAAGAAUUUCUUCUUAAGAAAAUUAGUAGCAUAACAACUAAAAACUACCCUAUUGUUGUCCUCUCCAGUGGUUUUUGGCUUUUUCGUACAUGUUCUGUUUGGGUAUAAAAUUUUCUCCGUCCCUUAUCUUCUGUUCUUUUCUUUCUUUAUUAGCCACUAGCAACCAGGGAUUGCGAUAUCUUCCGUAAAAACUUACUGCAAUUCUCCCGUAAAAACAAUCCAUGAGCAUAUCUAACACCAAAAAAUCCCUGAGCUCAUGGCCACCAAACAUUAUGGAAUCACACUGCAAAUGUAAUUCUUCGAGAUAUUGUAAGAACCAGCGCCGAAGUCAAUUUGCAUGAAGGUGAAGCGAGCAGGGCAAGAACCGGCCCUAGUAGAAAGUUAGAACGAAGAUCCAGAUGAAAGAGAUUUUGGAAUAGGAACUUGGUCCGUCACUCAACCAGAAAUUCGUGGGAGAAAUUCAGGUGGUACCAAUUUUCAGUCCACUUGAACCAUUUAUCAUUCGAAAUUUUGCAGUAUACCUAAGAAUGUUGUAAGAAGGAUCGAGCCUAUCUAGACUAUUGGCUGCUUUCAACAAGUCAACUGUUGUCACAAAUCUCUUAAGCCACGAGAGGACAAGAACUAUAGGGUCUGUUUGGCAAAUAAGUUUUUUUAUCAAGUUGAUCUGUUAUAAGUUUUUAAACAACUUUAACUACAGUAAUUUCAAAAAAUUUAUCAAAAUUUUUAAACUAUAUAUUUCAAAAUAUCAAAAAAUUUAUACAUUUCAAAAAUUUUUGCUAUAACUUCUAUAGGAAAUUACAGUAAAGUUUUAGACAUACAUCAAUAAAUUCAUUUGCCAAACAGGGACUAUGAGCAAGGUUGAGUUGGGUCGAGUUACCUACAUCAACAUUCACGACAAUGUAUUUGCCAGAAUGAAAUUACCAAAAAGUUAGUUCAAGUUUGGAAAACCUGCUUGCCUCUAGAACAAACAAUAGGUUGUUGAAGAGAUUGCCGCUCUGUUUGGCAAAUAAGUUUUUGACCAAGUUUAUUUGGUAAUUUUACAUACAGCUUUCUUAAAAAAUUUCUCAAAAUUUUUAAACUCUACACUUCAAAAUAUCCAAAAAUUUACACACUUCAAAAAUUUUUCCUACAAUUUUUACAAUAAGUUACAAUAAAAUUUUAGACAAACAUCCAAAAAACUUAUUUGUCAAAUGAAGCCUGCAUUACUUGAGAAAUAUCAAGGACAGUGAGGUUCACAAAUUGAUUUUGGAAUUGGGCUCUGCAGCUCAUUGUCAUUGAGAUCAAGUGUUGAGGUGACUGAUACCGGAAUUUGUAGACACGGCCCAUUGAACAAGUAGUCUCCAAGAGCUCGAGACUCGGCUCCGAAAUUAACACGGAACGUGGAAUUCUAGGUUCAGGAACUUGCCGUCCGCAUCAAUGAAACUGUCCAAAAUGCCGUUUUUGGUUCUUAUUCAGUUUUCCUAUUAUUAACUAUAAUUGUAUUGAAGGAAGAAAAAAGGGAAAAUCACGCAAGAUUUGUUUCUAAAGGCGAUUUGCGAGUGGAUUCGGGUCACCACACCCGCGGAUCUGGCAGUGCAUGAGUAUUGAGUUGAUACUUGCCUUUUGGAUCCACUCUGUGGACCCACGACGGGUAGCAUCGUUAUCUUCGUUUGAAUUAAUCUAUUUUUUAAAAAUAAAUUUUUUAAAUACAAUAUUACAUUAAUAUAUAAAUAAAAAUAAUUUAAAAAAUAUUUCAUCCAUAUGAUAUAUCAAAUAUUUUUAAAAAUAUUUUUAGUAAAAAUUUUUCAUAUACAAUAUUACAGUAAAAUAUUGCAAAAACACCAUCAAAUACAGCUAAUUCAAACGGAGCAUUUUAAGUAUUUUUUUUUUUUUCAAUUUAAAGCACAUGUAGUCUAAAAAUAGGCAUUCCUAUGAUUAUUUUUUUUUGGCUCUUGACAUUAUUAUUGAAAUUUUAAUAUAGUUGUGUCAAAUUUAUUCAUGUUCUCAAGUUAUUAGAAUCUUGUGAAUUUUUGUCGAAUCUUGUUAUUUUAGGAGUUCAAUCAUGUAUGGAUUCUUGAUUCUUUUUUAUGGAAUUAGUUUGUGACACUAUUCCCGCUAAGUUGCUUCCACCGCCGCGUCAGCAAUCCAGUAACGGUGGAGGGCAUUUGGACCUGCAAGUGUAAGCGCAUUGGUCAAAAAUCUCAAAAAGAUGCGUCACAUUGAUGAUUGAGAAGGGGGAAUUAACGAAUAGAUUCAGGAUGAGAGAGAUCCAAGUGCUUAGAAAGUCAAUUUCGAGCCUUCAGGAUACCUGAUUGAUUGGAGUUUUAUACGAUUAGCUACAAUUGAUUUUACUCACAUUUGAGCCCUUGUUUCGGAGCAUGUUAACACGGUAGCUUAUACGCACGCACAAUCAAAGUGGCGUCCAAUUCCAAACAUCAAUUAAUUUAUAGUUGUCUGCUAUUGAUUUCAAAAAACAAAUACAGGGGGAUCCUUUCUUUAGGUAUUGACCAAAGAUUCUUUAUUUAGCCAGUCCACCGAGAAUGUCCUUCCACUGGGGAGAAGGCUUGAAUUAUUCAUGGUCAACGUAUAAUAAAGCAAUCCAACAACUCUACUUGAGAAACGACAUUAUCCUCAACCAGCAUGGUUUGUCAAGAAUGCUACUCCAUGCUUGAUACUUCAAGGUACAAGGUUGAUAACAUUUGGUCGGAAUGUUAUGUCAUGUUAUGGAUGAUAGGUACCUCCGCAUGUCUUCUUCCUUCUUCGGCAUAAGACGUCACAAGUUUGCCCAAGACUCGAGAGGAUGGAGCCUCUCGUAGAUUCUAAUACGCAGAUUCAGCAAUUGAGAGGCUACCCUUUACACCCCUUUUCUCUUGCAAUAAAAUGUUUUUGAGACCUUUUUUUGGAAACGUCUAGGCCCAACAAACAAGGGUAGGGCAACAAAGUUGGUGCACCCCCCCUCCCCUCUCUCCUCCUCUGAUUGACGAACUCAGCGACAGUCAAGGGUGAUAAUAUUUAGUGGCUACCCAUGACAAACUCAAUCAUCAAAAUGUAAUCGUUUUCCCUUGCACUUGGCAUAUAUCUCUACACAAUGAUUCCCAUACGAGUUAUUAGCUCAAGGAAGCUAGGAACUCGGUUCAAUCGAGUUUUUCCCUCCUCUUCCAAACCUUAAACUUUCUGCUCAGCUUGAAAUCAAAUUCCUGAGCGCAAUUGUGCUACAAAACAUUCUGCAAAGUUCAUCAUUUAGCAGGCAGCCACAUCCACUCCAACUAAGAUUACUUUUGUAGCAGCACAACAUCACCAUCAGUCACUCUUCUAUAAAUUUUGACAAUCUUUACUCUGCAAUGUCUCCUAAAUCCAUCUUUCCUUACCCACAACUUCGGAUAAUUUGCACUCAACAUACUCUAAUCUGUGUUAAUUCACUUCAUUGCAACAGCAGAUAAAAAGCACUGAAGAGCUUCUCUUCAGUUUGGCUCCAUGACAACUAUCUUGUGACCAAUGUAUCACGUAGACCAACAUUUGACUAGCAUAUUCCAAAGUUCCUGCCAAUGCUAUGGUUAAAACAUGAAACAACCAUGACAGAAAUGCAGAAUGGUGAUUAGUGGAGUAAUAAUUGCACUACUUAGCUUUGAAAUCCGCCACUAUCUCCUAACAACUAGAGUGAGAAGAUGAACUGAGCUUCUUGAAAUCCAGAGAGAGCCAUAUAGAUUAUAUGUAUAACCAGUACAAUCUUACAGUAGUAUAAGAAGCGCCGCUUUACACAAAUUAGAUCAAUCUCUAUACAAAAUUCCGGCAUAUUCCUUUCCUUGAGAAAGGAGAGUCAGGGGCCGCACUAUUACCUGAAAUUUCUGAAAAUUAGAUUGCAACCCUAACUUACCAGAAUCCUCCUACCCAGUUGUUACAGUCACAAUACCU